AAAAAAAAAAAGGAAAAAGUUCAAAUACCACUCCUGUGGUUUCGCAAUUUCUCACUUUAGUACCCUGCAUUAUAAUGUUUAUCACUUUCGUACCAUGUGAUUUUAUUUUUUUAUUUUUUGUUAUCUCCUUCACUAAUUUUUUUUAUUAAAUCGAGUGACAAAGUUAAAACUAAAGGGUACUUCGAUAAACUAUAAAUGGGGUAUUUGAAGUUUUUGUACAUAAUUUAAUAAAAAGUUAACUGAGGGCUGACGAAAAGAGAAAAAUAAAAUCAUAUAGUACUAAAUUGAUACACUUUAAACCAUAGGGUACUAAAUUGAUACACUGGAAUACUAUUGCUAGCAAACGGGCUCCGUUGCCACUCAUUUGUUUUCGAUGAUGGAGCCUCCAAAUUAACGAUCGGCACCAUUGAACAUGAUCUAUACUACUUUGAGUAUUUAGAAAUCAAAUUUUAUGAUUUUUCGCUAUUGUUCUCUUAAUCAUCAAGUAGACGUAAAAAUGAACGGCUGAAAAUAAAUAUCCUCUAAAAAAUGAUGAUAGGAAUUUUCUAAUCAAGAUCGAGAGUAUAGAUUUUGUUCUAAAUAGUUUAAAGAAUUUCUAUUUGAAUAGCUUUACACCGUUAAACAAGAAAAUGCCUCAUAUCUACCAUUAAAAUUACAAAAUUUGAAACCAUUUGAUUAUUAGGUCAAUAAUGUCAAAAAGAUUUGAAAUUUGAUUUCUAGAUGCUUCAAGUGGUAUACAUUAUGUUCAACAGUGCCGAUCGUCAAUUUAAAGGCUUUAUCAUCGAAAACAAAUAAAUGGCAACGGAGCCCGUUUGCUACUAAUAGCAUUCCAGCUCAUCUCUCUCUCUCUCUCUCUCUCUAUAUAUAUAUAUAUAUAAUGUAAAAUAAUUUCAGGUUUGGCUGGAGCUUGGGUUCGGGUUCGACUCGGGCUCGAGUUCGGGUUCGGGUGCAAUCAAAAUUCAUACCUGAAUUCAAAUCCGUCGGAUUUUUAUUUUUGAUAUGCAUAUCCGAAACUAUAUCUAUUUAGUAUCAGAUAAAUCUACUCCAUUGGAUUCAAGUUCGGAUAAAAUUUUAGAUAUCUGUAUCAUUGACAUCCCUAGAAAUGGUUGAACGAGAAAAGAGACUAUAUCAUAUAAUAUUUUAUUUUAUUUUUAUUUAUCAUAAUAAUAUAUUUAAAGGCAAAUUAUAUGCCACUCAGAUCAAUUGACAUUUAUCUAUAAUUCAGAUCAUUGUAAUUGCAUUUUAAAAAUUAUUACUAAACAAAUUAUAUUAUUUUUGCUAAACUGAUCUCACCUAAUUUAAUAUAAAAGAUUUUCUAUAGUAAGUAAUGCUAUUUGUACAGCAAGAAUUAGAGAUGUAGAUUGAACCAGAUUGGUGGACCCUCUGUUUCGAUCCACUUCAAAUGAGGCCGUAAUUAAGUGAGAAUAAAAAAUAUAAAAAAGUGUAGCUUGUUUCGAAUCUGUCCGAUUCGCCAAGUAGAUGGAGCGAGAGGCGAGAGACCCUUGCUUACUGCUAUAAAUUCAUCAAAAACCCUCUCCUACCCCGAUCCACCCGAAUGGAUUCACAAGUGAGAGUAAAAAAUAUGAUUAAAAUUAGGCUAAAAUAUAAAAAAAUUCUUAUAAAUACCCACUUUUUACUAUUUCUUUUUUACUUUUAAAAUCUAUUUUUUGUACUCUAAAAAUUUUAAAAAUAUUUUUAGGAAAGUAUGACUUUAAUGGAGAAGGCAAAAUGACUAAAUUAUCCUUAUUUUUUUUAUAACAAAAAAUAAUUUUUUAAUAUAUUGCUGUAAUUUUGAAUUUUUUAAUAUAUUGUUGUAAUUUUGAAGGGCAUUUUCGGUAUAAAUUAUAAAAAAUAAACGGAAUAGUAAUAGAACCCUAAUAUAGGAGGGCCAAAUGUAACAACUUGAAAUGUUAAAAAGAUAAAAUAUAGAAUUUUGAAAGUUAAAAAAAAAUAAAAAAUAAGUACUUAUAAGGAGAUUUUCUGUAAUUUAGCCUUAAAUUAACCCGUCAUGAAUCUGUCCCGACCCAACAUGAAAUGGAGCGGGAGGUGGAAGACAGCUCCCUCCUUUGGAUCCGCUCCGUUUGCAUCCCUAUCUAAGAUGUAGGUGUUAAUCUUAUAUCUUAGCCUCUUGAUGAUCAGAAUGUCCUCACUUAUUUUAUCAAUUUUUGUAUUAAAAAUUUUACAGAAUUGUCUAAAUCCUAAGAAAUAUUUUCUAUAUAACAGAUAAUACCCAUUAAUACAUGCAAAGAAUUCAAAAUAUGAUAAAUCAUGAAAUAUAACAAAUAAUUUGAAAAUAUAAUAAUUAAUUAAUUUAUGUAAAGAUGCUUUAAUUAGUUAAUUAAUUUACAAAGAACUCAUUAUGUUUGGUAUUGUUUUAUUUAUCCAAGGGUUGUAGUCCUACUCCUAAGAUUUAUACAAAUUUUUUUAGGCCAAUUUGCAUAAAAAAUUCAUAAAUUUUGAGCUUUUACAAAACUGGGCCACCUUUUUUGAUUUUACAGAUUCGGUCCGAAUUUUCAACAAACUGACAAAAAUACCUUUAUUACUUUUUCUCUCUCUUCUUUCUCUCUCCUCUUAUUUUCUCUUGUUCAUUUUUUUUCUUUCACCGAAGAAAGCAGCGGAGGCAGAGGCAGAGGCAGAGGCGGAAACGGCCCGCCUCGCCUCUCACCCUCAUGCUCUCGCCCUCGCCCGCGCACCCCCCACCUUCCUCGCCUCCGACCCCACCGUGGCCGCGCCGCAACACUCUUUUUUUUUUUCCUCUCCGACUCUUCUCCACCGUCUCUGACAACGACGCCUCUCUUGCCCUUCCCCGCCCUUCUUGUCCUCCCCUUCUCCCUCCUCCAAAGCCGCCUCCAACGACGACGCAUCUUCGCCGACGACGACACCGUAGAGGUCGCUGCAGCGCUGCAGCCUCAGAGCGGGGGGUUUUUAGCGGCGUCGUCACCGGCGCCGUGGCCGUUGGCAGAGAGGGGUGACUAAAAAAAAUUAUAGAAGAAGCAAGAAAAAAAAAUAAAGAUAAAAAAUUAUAGGAAAAAAGAUAUGAAGAUGAAAUUGCACCGUUAAAAAAAAAAUUGUACUGUUUUAAAAGAACGUUGCACUAUUAUGGACAUAAGUUGUAUUACUUAAGGUGUAAACUGCAGAUCUAAGAUGAAAAUUACACUCUUUAAACGAAAAUUGCACUCUUUGAGAGAUAUUUACACUAUUUUUUUUCUUAUUGCACUCUUUUAGAUAUAAACUGCAUCCAUUAAGAUAAAAAUUACACUCUUUAAAUGAAAGUUGCACUUUUUGAGAGAUAUUUACACUGUUUUCCUCUUCUUACAUCCUUUGAGAUGUAAACUGUAUCUCUUUAAGAGAUAUUUAUACUGUUUCUCUUCUUGUUGCACUGUUUUUCCUCUUGUUGCACUAUUUUUCUUCUUGUUAUACUGUUUCUCCUCUUAAAGGGUGUAGUUUAAGAGAAAAAACAAUGGCCAACUUUUGCAAAAGCGCGAAACUAGUGGAUUUUUUAUGAAAUUGGCCAUUUUUUUAAGAUUUUAAUAUUAAAAAAAAUUAUGACUAGUGAGAAAAACUUUGAACCUUAGAUAGGCAAGUUGAAAGAAAAACUUUAUAAUUUCUCACCAGUCAUAUCACUCUCUUUUGUUUUAAUAUUUAAGGCUAAAAUAUAGAAAAUUCUUCUGUAAAUACUACUUUUUCACUUUUAUUCCUUAACUUUUAAAAACCUAUAUUUUACCCUCUCAAAAUUUUAAAUUGAUACAUUUAGCCCCCCUUCGUUAGUGUUCCGUUACUAUUCUAUCUAUUUCUUAUAAUUUUUACCUAAAAUUUUCUUAAAAUAACAAAAAACAUUAAAAACUAUUUUUUAAAGAACAAGUAAGGACAACAUAAUUCUCUGAAAAUAUUUUCGAAAUUCUAAGAUAUUAAAUGUAGGUUUUUGAAAGUAAAAAAAAAAAAGUGAAAAAAAUAAAUAUUCACACAAAAAUUUUCUAUAUUUUAACCAUAUUAAAAUUCAAAAGGAAUCAUAUAAAUUCUAGGGAUAGCAUUACAACCCUCGAAUUGACAUUGUAAUCCUAUCCAAAAAAUUUUCUAUAUUUUAGCUAUAUUAAAAUUCAAAAAUAAUUAAAAAUAAAUUCUAGGGACAGGAUUACAACUCUUGGAUUUUCAAAAAUCUAAAUCCAAACCCGACUAUAAAAUCCAAAAUUCAAACCCAAACCCGACUCCAACGGAUUUUAAAAAUCCAUUUCCAAACCUAAAUCUGACAAAAAAAAUUCGAAAUCUAAAUUUGAACUCAAAAACCCUAACCCAAAAUAAUUAUUUCUUUUUAUCAUAUUUCAAAACAUAUUACAUUAAAUCUAAAUUUUUAAAUACAAAUUAAAAUAUAAUAUCAAACAUUCACAUAUAUUAUAUAAUGUAAAAUCAAUUUGUGUUUGGAUCGGAUUCGGGUCUGGAAAAGACAAAAUUCAUGUCCGAAUCUAAAUUCAUCGAGAUUUUUUUUUUUAUACCGAUAUCAGAAACUAUAUCCAUUUAGUAUCUGUCUGCCAUCACGAAUGACGUAUCUCGCACGGUCGAUGGGUUUUGCCGUGGGGUUGUAUUCAUGAUUCAGAUUAGUAUUUGUAUCAAGUAUUGCAGGUCCAUGGUUUCCAAUAGAUGUAAGCAUCUAUUGUUAAUUACCCCCGUGGCAUUGGGGCACCUUCGAUUAAGAGACCUUUGUAAAUAUGAGAUUGAAUGAAUCGUAUCUUGGUUUAUUGAAUCCUAAGUAUAUGUAUUGGGAUUCAGUUGGAUUUGAGAUUGACUAGGUCCUAAAUAUAUGUGUUAAGACCUAUUCGAUAUUAAACUCUAUAUAUUAUAGUCUAAUUGGCUCUAAGUAUAUGUCUUAGAGUCCGAUUAUAUUCACCUUGGUUGUAUAUUCCAAGAUGGAGAUGUGACCAUACCCCAAAUAUAUGUAUUGAGGUAGGUCGGAUUUGAUAUUACCCAAAAGUAGAGAGUGGCUUAUUCCUGAAUGUAUGUAUCAGGAAUAGCCGAGUUUAAUAUAUUUUUUACUCUAGUUAUAUGUGCUAAAGUGAGGAUCUGACUAAGCCCGAAGGUAUUGCGUUAGAAUUUGUCGGAUUUGAUUUGCAUGAGCUCUAAGUAUAUGUAUUAGAGCUCAAUCGGCAUAGAUUUCACUCUAGGUAGAUGUGCUAGAGCAAAAUGGCUGACUAGACCCUAAGGGCAUGUUUGUUUGGUGUAAGUGGAGUGAUGGAACUCAAGUUCCAUCACUUCCGUUAUUUGUUUUGGUGUAAGUGAAAAAUAUAAUGUAACUCAAGUUACGUAAGACCUCCACUUUACCUACUCUCGACUUCCUCCUCUAAAGUGCCAAACUCGACUUCCACCACACUCAACCUCCUCUAAAAUAUUUAUUAAACAGUAAAACCUAAACUCUACUUUCCUUAUAAUAGAUUAGAAUUACCUUAUUUAUAAUAAAUUAGGAUUAUCUUUAAAUAAUAAUAAAAAAAUCAAUUAUAUAAUAAGUUAAAUUUUAUAGCGGUAAAUUUACUAUUAUAUUUAGGAGAUAAUGGUAUCCACUUACUUACAUCAAAACAAACAACGGAACUCACAAAACUAAUUUCACCAGCACCAAGUUACAUCAAAACAAACAUAAGAAGUAAUUGAAUUUAACUUUCAGGCUAUACAAGUUACAUCAAAACAAACAACCAAAAAAUAAUCAGACUUCAGGAAAACUCAAACACCACUGCACUUGACUUACGUUGGAUCUACAGAUUCGUCAAUCCAAACAGACCCUUUAAGUGUAUGUGUUAGAACUAGUCGAACUUGAUUUGACUUCCACUCUAGGUAUUAGUGCUAGAGCAAAAGGGUGACUAGACCCUAAGGAUAUGUGUUAGGGUUAGUCAGAUGAACUCUAAGUAUAUGCAUUAAAUUUCGAAUAAAUUUGAUAUCAUUUGACUGAAUUCUAAGUAUAUAACUUAGAACUCUGUCGAUUUGGAGAUAUUUUGCCUUAGUUAUAUGUGUUAAGCCGAUUGACUUAGCCCUAAGUAUAUGUAUUAGGGGUAGUCGAUAUUUAAUUUUUACUCUAGGUAUAUGUGCUAGACUAAAAAAAAAGGUUCAUGAUGAACUUUGGGUAUGAUUUAGUUCAUAUAUGGUUAAUGAGAUUUGGGUAUUGGUUCAUGAGAUUUGGUAUAUGGCACAUUAGGGUUUGGUGCAUGGUUCAUGAGAUUUCGUUCAUGAACUUGGAUAUGAUUCAUGGAUUUGAUGUAUGAAUUUAGUUUAUGGACUUGGUUCAUGAUUCAUGAACUUGGUUCAUUUGGUUCAUAAACUUGGUUUAUGGUUCAUAAGGUUGGGUAUGUAGGAUUUGGUUCAUGAACUUAGAUUUGGUUCAUGGAUUUGGUAUAUGAACUUGGUUUAUGGACUUGGUUCUUGGUUCAUGGUUCAUGAACUUGAUUCAUUUGGUUCAUGAACUUGGUUUAUGGACUUAUUUCAUGGUUCAUGAGCUUGGUUCAUUUGGCUUAUAAACUUGGUUCGUGGUUCAUGAGAUUAGGUAUGUGGGAUUUAGUUCGUGGUUGAGUGCAUGGGUCAUGAACUUGGGUACGGUUCAUAAGAUUUGGUGUAUGGUUCAUAAGCUUUGUUCAUUUGGUUUAUGAACUUGGUGUAUGGAUCAUGAGAUUUGGUGUAUGGUUCAUGAUAUUUGGUGUGGUUCAUGAGAUAUGGUUCAUGGUUCAUAAAAUUUGGUUCAGGAACUUGGUAUAUGGCUCACGAGAUUUGGUUUAUGAUUCAUGAAAUUUGGUUCAUGAAUUUGGUAUUUGGCUCACGAGAUUUGGUUCAUGAUAUUUGGUGUGGCUCAUGAGAUAUGGUUCAUGGUUCAUGAAAUUUGGUUCAUGAAUUUGGUGUAUGAUUUAUGACAUUUGCUCCAUAAUUCAUGAUAUUUAGGUAUGGAAUUUGGUUCAUGAUCCAUGUAAUCUGGUUCAUAAAAUUUGGUUCAUGAGUCCAUAUUUGAGGUAGGGUUUGGGUUUGGUUGGAUUAGGCUUUUAUGAUGGAUUCAAUUGGGUUUGGAUUUUUAUGGUGGACUUGAUCGGAUUUGGGCUUGGAUUUUGGGUUUUUUAUUUGUGGACUUGAUUUGGGUUUUAGGUUUUUAGGUUUUUUAUUUGUGGACUUGGUUCGAGUUUAGGUUUUAUUUGUAGACUUGGUUUGAGUUUUUUAAAUUUUAUUGCAAUUUGAUUUUUUUGGUCUAAAAGGAUUCUCUUUCCAAUUUUAUUGCAAUUCGAUUUUGGGUCCGAAGAAAUCUUCUUUUGAUUUUUGUAAUUUGAUUUGGGAUCCGAAGAAAUCCCCUUUUAAUUUUUAUUGCAAUUUUGAUUUGGGAUCCGAAGAAAUUCUCUUUUGAUUUUUAUUGCAAUUUUGAUUUGGAGUCCGAAGAAAUUCUCUUUUGAUUUUGUAAUUCAAUUUGGGGUCCGAAAAAAUUCCCUUUUGAUUUUGUAAUUUGAUUUGGGGUCCGAAGAAAUUUUCUUUUGAUUUGGCAGUUCGAUUUGUCUAUUCGGCCGGCGAAUUUAGUUCGAUAUUUUCAAAAGAGAUUGAAGGGUCCGAAGAAACGGAGAAUCUUUGAUUCCCCCCCUCUUUUUUCGAAAACACCGAACCGGCGAGGCUGGAGAUGACGGCGGUGAAGAUGAUGACGGUGGCGCGGAUCUGUUCGGCCGGCGAAUUUGGUUCGAUAUUUUUAAAAGAGAUUGAAGUGUCCGAAAAAACAGGAAAUCUUUGAUUCCCCUCACCUCUUCUUUCGAAAACACCAAAUUGGCAAGGCUGGAUAUGAUCACGGCAAUAUAGAUCACCCAUUCCAUCAAUUAACGGCUUCGAAUGGAGUAUCGAGAGAUUCGAAGAAACGGAAAGCCAUUGGCUCCCCUCCACUCUCCCAUCAAAGUCGUUUAGAUGGUAUGGAUGACUACGGUAGCAGGACCUAAACAAAAAAGAAAAAGGGAGAAAAAAAGAGAUUUUUUUUAUUUUUUGAUAUAUUUUAUUAUUAUUAUUAUUAUUAUUAUUAUUAUUAUUAUUAUUAUUUAUCUUUACCUGAUGAUCAGAUGACGGGCUGGAUGAAGCGGCACGACGGUGCGGCUCCGUAUCGCUAUCGUCUCUCUGUAUCUAUUUUUCUCUAUCUAUUUGUUCUCUCCUCUAUGUAUCCCCUUCCUCUUUUUUUAUUCUCAUAUUUAUAAUAGAAGGGGAGAUCUGAGGAAUCGGAGCGAUUCAUGGGUUAGGCGAGAGAUAUUUUGAGGAGUUGAUUAGGAAUUCGAAAUUCGAAAUUGAAUUUUGAAUCGAUUGUUGGAGGGAUAAAUAUUUGAAAUUCGAAUGAAUAUGGUUGAUUGGGAGAUAUUUUGAGAGUUGGUUGGAGGGAUAGAUAUUUGAAAUUAGAAUGAAUGUGGUUGGUUGGGAGAUAUUUUGGGAGUUGGUUGGUUAGUUGGGAGAUAUUUUGGAAAUUGGUUGUGAUUGGUUGAAAGCUAUUUUGGGAGUUAGUUGUGAUUAGUUAGGAGAUAUUUUGGGAGUUGGUUGUGUUUUAUUAAGAGAUUUUUUGGGUGUUGGUUGAGAAUUUGAAAUCGAAUUUCGAAUAGGAUUGUCAGGAUAAUAGAUAUUUUCUAGGGUGUGGAUAUAGGUCGUCAUUGAUUGAGCCCACUUUAAUAAAAUUUGUUGAGCACAAAUAAUAAUAUUCAUUGGGCUGAAAUGAGACCCGAAUUAUUGCAUAGGCUUAAAAUUUUAACGGGCCUUCAUGAGACCCACCAACUCGCAUUCAUGAAUGGAUCUAUUGCGAAUUUAAAUUAUGAUUAUUGCCCCCAAAAUUUUAUGAUCAACAUGAAACCUAUUAGAAUUGUAUGAAUCCGAAUUUAAUCGAUUUUAAUUAUGAUUAGGGUUACUUUACUCCUUUUUCUUUUCUUUUCUUUUUUUUUACUUCAAACAGUAUCAAAUAAAUCCGUCCCAUUCAUGUUCGGAUUUGGAUUCAAUUAAAAUUUCGAGUAUCCGUACCCAUUGACAUUUCUAUCCAAGAAUGCCAUUCAUGAUUUUUAGUAGAAUAGUAUAUUUUAUUUACUAUAUGAUUUAUUUUAUUUUAAAAAAUUGAGGUGAAGGCUAAAUAUUUAAUUCAAAACAAAUAAUCACAGUUCUCAUAUAUUAAUAUUAUAAAAUUUUUAAGUAAAGUAACAAAAUAUUUAUUUUUUAGCAUAGUGUUGGAUUUGUUGUAAUUUGUUCUCUUUUUUUCCGGGAAUAUAAAUUAAAGAAAAUUAAUAAUAAUUAGCUUGAAAUGUAAGGAGACCCCCUCAACAAAAGGUUAUUUUGAAGUCACUCCUAAAACUACAAUUGUUUUGAUCGGCUACCAUAACUUUUUUAUUUUUAAGAAACGAGUAAUUUUAGUCAAAUAAAUUAAAAAUUUUAUCAAAUCCAUCGAUGACUCUUUCUAAUUAAUAGUUUUGAUUGCAUUUUCGCAAAUAAAGCUGAAACAAUUAAUAGCUAAUAUGUAAUAGAGCUAUAAAAUUUAAUUUUUUAAACUUGCAUAAGUAUAAUUCAAUUUUUUUUAAAAAAAAUUAGAAACAAAGCAAUGUCAAUAAAAAAUAAAGUUAAGGGGCAUUUCUUUCUGUAAAUUUUGAAAUUAUUAUAAAUAUAAUUUCCAAACUUUAAAAUUGCAAAUGGAGAUAGAAACUAAUCUUUGGAGAAGUUAAAUGACCAAUUUACCCUUGUAAAAGUCUCCUCCAAAAAUUUCAUGCGCUUAUACUUAAGAAAAAAAAUGUAUCGAGACCCCUCAACUAUAGCGAUUUUUGGAAUGGCACCUAGCAACUUCAAUAUUUUUUAGGGAUUAAAUGCAUACUGAUUCCUGCAAAUAUAGUGAAUUGCAAAUAUAUACAUAUAAAGUUCAAUUUUCAUAUGUUGUCCCUUCAAAAGUUCUAAUAUUUUUAAAUAUGUCCCUCUAAUACGUUACUGUUAAAAAAUCGUUAAAGAACUGUUUAUAUUUUCAAUUUUGACAUCAUAAUAUGUCACUCUAAAAGUCACAAUAAUAUAAUAUAAGAGGGAUAAAAAUAUCAAAAACUAAUCAGGAUUAAGUAUGUAAUACAACGGUAAAGAUAUAUUUGAAAACAUUAAAAGACUAUUAUACGGACAAUAUAUAAAAAUUAAACUUUAUAUGGAUAUUUUUAUAAUUUACUAUAUAUAUAGGGACCUACAUGCAAUUAACCUUAUUUUUAAUCGACACUCUUUUAACUUUUAAGUUUUACAAUGAACUAGUCUUUUUUUUUUUUCUGUUAAAAAGUUUGUUUAACUUUACUAACUUUUCAGCUGUUAACAUUUAAUUAUUUUAAUUCCAUUGGGUAAGAAUAAUAAAAUUAUUAAAUUUGGUAAAUUUAUUGAUGGACUUGAUAAACAAGCCAAUUUAUUUGACUAAAAUUAUUAAUUUUUAAAAAAUAAUAGUUAAAAGGUUUUAAUAAAAAAAAAAGUUAGAGUUAAGGGGCUAUUUCAAAAUAAAUAGAUGGUAGCAUUUUCCCUCAGAAAAAAAAUGUAUGGAACUUUUUUGAACUAUGAAUUAUUUUAAUUUGACUAUUUAAUUUUUUAAAAAUUUUGAUUUUACUAUUCAAUCUUUCAAUUUUUCGGAUUUGAGUCCAUUAACGACACUUUAACUUCAAAAUUUAAAUGUAUCGUUUUUUUUUACAGAUUUAGUUAGUAUAUUUCAUGCAAUUCUCGGACUAUAAAUUAAUUAAAAUAAGUAAUUAAUUUAAAUUUUAAAGUAAAAGUACCCUUACUAACUCAAAUCAAAUAAAUUGAAUGGUUGGAUAGUAAAAUUAAAAAUUUUAAAGAUUAGAUAAGUAAUGUAUGAUUUUACUUUUUUAUUUUUGUAUUAUUUUUAAAAAUGUUUCGAGACCUUUCGAAUUUUAGCACUUUUGCAAACAUGUCUCCAAAUUUUUAUAUUGGUGACUAGAAUUUCUAAACGUUAUAGUGGGAGAUAGGAUUAGGCUGUUUCAUGGUCGAAGUGGUGUGAGGUUGGUUGAGCUAAACUUUAACACUUUCGUGGCGGUAGGCCAGGUUAGGCAGAUUCAUGUUUGAAGUGGCGUGAGACUGUUUGGACCGAGUGUGUCUGUAUACUUAAAGGGAAUUGGCUGGUUAUUUUCAAUAGUUCGAGCUUUUGAAAUUGAUAGUUUAUGCCAACGAUCUGACACUUUUUAAGUACUGCAAAUUAUUCACCACUUUAUUUAAAAUAUUAUAACUGUUUGAGGUGCUCAUAAAAGCAGUGGACUGUUUACCAUAUUUAUCGGAUUCAAACUUAGAAUAUAGAUACUUAUGUGAAUACGAUUAAUAUUUUACCGCUUUCGAAUCUAAUAUGUUUAAGCCGACGCAACACAAAUGGAUCUAAUAUAAGUAAAGCUGCAGAGAUAAGUGGGCCUAAUUUUAGAAAUAAAAAUAUCAUAGGCUCAUAUUUAGCCUAUUGAUAAUUAAAAAUCUCUAAUGAUCUAACUGACACUAUUAGAUAAAAUAAAAUUGAGAUAAAAAUAUAUAUGAAUAUGCUUUUGUAUUUUCUGGUGGAACUGUAACAAAUAUAUUAUAACCGACUUAUCGUGAUAAUAUUACGUACGAAAAUAAACAGAAUAUUUGUCCAUCAUACUUUCUCACGGUAUGUAACGCAAUCUUCCUGCAAUUCCAAACGAAGCAUUGCUUACCAAAAGUUCCCAUUUUAGAGGGCCUUUCAAUGUAAUUAGUCGAUUAUUCAUGGACUUGGUCGCAAAUAAAUACACACUUUUGCCCGUUGGAGGGCUAGUGAAAGAGGGGCGCUCCCUCCGAGCCCAAGUCCACACCUCGCCCCCGCCGCCGCCGACGCCGACGACGCCGCCGCCGCUCCGCCGCCGCAAAUGGCUUCGCUUCUCCACCUCCCCGCCGACGACUCCGUCCUCCUCGUCGUCACCCAUUCCAACAUCAAGAGCUUCUCGCCCGAGAUCCGCUUCUCGCUCCAAGUACUACUCUCUAUAUCUCUCUAGAUCUCUCCUGAAUCUCAUCGAUCGGUUCCUUAAUGGCGGCGAUCCCGAUCGCAGAUGAGCGUGGAGGCGGUGAAGGAGAAGCUGUGGAGGAAGUGCGGGACCGCCGUGGAAUCCAUGCUCCUCGAGCUCCACGACGACGCAGGAUCCAAAAUCGCCGACCUGAGCGAUAAUCUGAGGCCGCUAGGGUUCUACUCCCCGCAGGAUCGGUUCGUCUCCUCCCCUCUUCUCGCGAGAUAUGUGUGCUUGAUCGAUUCCCUCUUGUUUGAUUUGUUAGGGUUUCUUUUUGGUAGAAAUAUCAAGAACUUGUAUAAACUAUGAUCUAUUUUGAUCUGGAGAUCUAACUUUUGAAAGUUUUGAUUUUUGCUGCCUAACAUUCAAUUCAUUUGAUUUGUUUGAUGACACUUGCACUUCAGAAUUUGAUUCCCGUUUGUUUUAAUGGGCUUGAUUAGAGCAUCUAGUGCUAUACACCUGACUACAUUCCCAAUAAAGCAAAAAAAAAGGGCAUCCAAAUUUAGUAACAAAGAGUCGUUGAACGAUUCAAAUCAAACAAAUUGAAAAAUUAGGUAGUCAGGUUAAAAUGCGUUAUAAUUCAGGUAAGUUUCAUUUUUACACUCUUUUUACCACAUAUAUGCAUGGUUGUUGUGUUCUUUUAUGCAAAUGUAUAUUGGCUAAUGUAGAUUGUCUUGAACUCGUUCGCCACGUUGUGGGAUUGGGACUUUAGAAAAAUAGCCUGCACAUAUAUCUUUCAAAUCAAGUAGGGUUGUAAUUAAGUUAGUACAGGAAGAGAAUUUGAAAAGUGGAAACAAUAUUAAAGAUUAAAGAGCUGCGGAAAGUUGGUAGAUGAGGAUAUGCACCGGCAAUUUUACUGACUUGGGAAAAAUUAUUUUCUGUUGCUAAAACAUUAGUACGAUUCUUUGAUGGGCUUUAGAAGUAAUAGAAUCACUCAAGUAAAUUGCUAUCUGUAAUAAAAGGUAGAAAAGCAUGGACCUUACCUAAUACUAGGCCAUAUAUUUUAUUUUCGCCGCAUUUACUGUUGCAGUUUAAUUCUCUUUUUUUUUUUUUCCACUUGAUUGGAUUUUUCUUAUAUAAUCCGAAGGUACCGGCUGCAUAUUAUAGAUCUGGAUCCUUCAUCUGUGACCUCUGGCGGCUGGUUAGAAGACACAUCACUCGUCGAAAAAUAUACAAUAUCAGAGGAAGCAUACAGUAAACUUGAUUGUAAGUUUCUCAACCAUAUUUUUGUGCACUAGUCAUUAUUAGUGAUCGAUUGAGGCCUGUAUACUGUCUCUGCUUCGAAUUGAAGAGGGCAGCGGGUGUUGGUAUUUCUAGUCAAUUUCUAUAAUUUCCCUGAAUAUGGAUAACCAUCCUUUCUUUUCCUGUAAACUUCUUCCAUCUUUGACAAUAGUGACAUGUUCAUGUUUGUGUGUGUGUGUGUGUGUGUGUGUGUGUGUGUGUGUGUGUGUGUGUUCAUUUUCCAGCAAAUUUCCGGAAAUUUAAGGAGAAGAUGAUUUCUCAGAAUCCUACCCAUGACAAAAAGGUAAGCAUGGGUGGCACUUAGGUGUUUUUACUUUAUAGUAGUGUAGGUUUCAAUGCUGAUUGUAGAGUAGGUAACAUGCUAGCUAUUAUUGUCCUGUUCGGUCCUUGAUCUAAUCACACUUAACACCAGUUUCUAGAGACUUAUGGUUUAUUCUAGCUGUUUUCCCUUUUUGGUCUUCUCCAUUGCACAUCAUGGAGGUCUGGAUCUCCCCGUCCCCUCUCUCUGUGUGUGCACAUGCGCCCGCAUACAUGGGCACAUAUGUGCAUGUUAUGUUAGGGCACCCUACAGCUGACAAAAGUUCAUUUUUGUCACUUGAACUUGUUUAUGAGCCACUGAUUUAUUAGCUAUGGGCAUGUACCUUUGAGCAAACUGUCUUUUGGGAGCUUCCUAUAAAAUUAACAAGGGGUUGGAUGCCCUUCAUCUAACUUGAGCUUCCAGUGCAAAGAAGAAAAAGAUCUUAAACCAAGAAAAGGUACCACUAAAUAAACAGUAGGGGCUGUAAGACCUCAUGUAAAGCCCUUCUUACAAGAUCUUCUCUAAGUUGCUCCUCAUAGAAUUUUCACACGAUGCCUAUUGCUAACUGUAAUAUUUUUGUCCUUCAGCUGGCAGACAACUACAUGGAAGAGUUGUGUGCCAAUAUCAAGGUUAGUAUAUAAUUUUUGUUUCUUCGGCUGUAUCAAUUUUGCAGACAAACAAAAGCUCCUCAAUGUUCUUCUUUUUUCCCAUUUCCAUGGCUCUAACUGCAUCCGAGGUGUUGCACAUUCAAGCGUCAUAGAGUUUACCCUAUGAUGGAUUUGUUUUUUCUGAGUAUAUUGAGUUACCUUUCCAUAGAAGAGUAAUACUUCUCUUUUUGAAAUUUAAUGUGAGCAAACAUUUUGCAUGUGAUAGAAUAGGGAGUAUGUUCCUUCUUCUCUAUACAUAUUAGCUUUACUUCUCCUUUAUGUUUUUACAAGAAAAUGUUUUUUUUGCUAAGAUAUUUCCUGAUUUAGGUGGGUGAUAGAUGUGAAGUUGAACCAGGUGCAAAGAGGGGAGUUGUCAAGUUUGUUGGAAAAGCAGAGGCACUAGGACCUGGAUUUUGGGUUGGUAUUCAGUACGACGAGCCUCUGGGAAAGCAUGAUGGCAUGUAUGUGGCUUACGCUGUGUCGAAGCAUUGUUAUGUUUCAUUGUUGCAUGUUUUCACCUAGGAUACAUAGUGCAAAGUGAAAAAUGAUGGCAAUUUAAGGUCUUCCUAUUAUGAUAUGGAAUUAGGAAAGAAGAUGAACUUUCUUUUCUGAUGAAAAUAUAACUAGUUUAGACUGUAGUCUGACUGUUUCCAUGUUCAAGUACUCUCUUCUUAUUAGACAUACUAAAGCUGCAAGUCCUACUACUAUAAUAAUUGCAACUGCCUCUAACAUGAAUAAGAAAAAUAAAAACCCUCUCGUAGGUUUCGAUGAAACUAUUCUUUCACAGUCAUUUAUAGAGUUGUUAUAUAAUUGUCUUGGUUUCUAAAUUUCUAAUUUGACAUGUACAAGUUUAAAAUUUGAUCUACCUUUUCCUGAAUCUUGCUUAUGUAGAUAUUCUGUGCCGUUUGGUUGAUUGCAUGUAGCUGACACACGAACUCAUGUAGAUUUGCAAUAGUCCAACUUGGUACCUUUUACGUGAAUAAAAUGUUAUAGUCAUAGUUCUAUGUGAUUAAUAGAUAGUAUCACUAGUCCAACUAUAUUCUCCAUCAACUUAUGUUAACCUGUGUUAUUACUAGCUCUAAAGAAUAUUUAUCUCACUCAAACCCGAGGGAAGAAGGGGAGAAAAAAAAAAACUCAAGUCGUAAUUUCUUACUUGUUGCGUUUCAUUUUCACUCUCUUGCAUUUGGUAACCCAUGAUUGUAGUUUUCUCUACUUUUUAUGUUUUAUUUUCUCUAAAUGUGUGUAUAUAUAUUUUUUCAAUCAUGAGCCAGAAUAUAAUUCCGAAUACUCAGUUUCUCUCUUAGAGAAACAUAUCUCAUCCUCCUUGUUUAGAUCUUGUGUCUAUUUCAAGCUUUUUUGGUGAGAUAACUAAAUAAUCUCAAUACCUUGUGAUGGAUGUUAACAUCGUCUUAUUGUAAGAAUGGACUCUACCUAUCUUCCACUCAGCCUUUACGAAUGCCACAAACAAAUUAAACCCCGCUUACUCCUGUCAUUUCUAGUAAUCUUUCUGAAUAUCCUACACUUCUUGAUAUUUUUGCUGCACCUUCUGAGCACUCUCUGUUGCACUAGAUUCAAUUUUAACAAGAUGGUCCUGAAUAUAUAAUUAUCGAAAGACUCUAUUCUUUACCUUUUAUUAGUAUUAUUUAGCUAAUAUUCUUUUUUGGUUUUCCGUAGGGUGAAAGGUAUUCGCUUUUUUGAAUGCCCACCGGGACAUGGCGCUGUCGUUAGGCCCGACAAAGUCAAGGUAUCAUGACUAUUCGACAAUGCAUACUUUAGUUGCCGAUUAUGUUUCGGAGCUUUACAUUUUGACACAAAACAUACUGUAAUUAGGUUGUUGAAAUAGGUUUUACUCUUUAAAUUAAUUUAGUAUCGAAUAAAUUGAAAUUAAAAUGGAAGUGUGGAAUCUACUUCUGACAAGUAUUUCAUCUGCAGGUUGGGGACUUUCCUGAGAGAGACCCAUUUGAAGAGGAAGAAGAGAUAUAACAAAUAUUGAAGUGUACAUAAGAUAAUUUUCUUCUUGCUGACAUUAAUGCAAAUUUCUGUGCUUUGUUUUGCAUUUACGAUCCUUUUUCUGAUUCGAAUUGUACUUCCAUUUUGUUGUAACCAAAUAUGAUCGACUUGCGCUGGAUUCGAAGAACUGCUUUGUAAUUUUAAACUAUUUAUCGGUUCUUGUUUUGAAUCUUAUGUAGUCACAUUUAAACUGGUCAUAGUUCAGAUACGUUUCAUAAGUUUUUGGGCAAUGCUACUAUGAACUAUUUUGAAUCGAUUAUUUAAUUUUUUGAAAUUUUGAUUUUUUAAAUUUGUUUGAUCUGAGUCGGUCAACGGUGCUUUUAUUUCAAAAUUUAAACAAAUUAUUUCUGUUGAUAAAUUGUAAGUAGUAUACCAACUAAAUCUAUAAAGAUAAACGAUAUAUUCAAAUUUGAAAGUUAAGAUUUAGUGAUUGACUCAAAUUUGAAAUUUGGGGAAUUUGGAUUGCGAAAUCAAAAUAGUCCGUGAUUUAGGUGAAGUUUUGUAAUGAGGGGAAAAAAAAACUUUAAUUUGCCCUGCAUUAUUUACUGUGUUGUUACUUCACUACAUUCCAGGUUAAACAGUUUUACUUUGUUGUCCUAUAAUUUUCUCUUUGUAUUACUAAGAUAGUAUAUUGAAACUAAAAUUUAUAAACAGGACUAAAAUUAAAUUAUAAUGUUUCUAAACAGGAUUAAAAUUAAUUUUAAAGCUAAAAUCUGUAAACGAGACUCAAAUUAAAUUAAAAAGGAAACAGGAUUAAAAUUCAAUAAUAAAGUUAAAAAUCAUAAACAGGAUUAAAAUUAAGGGUAACUUCAAAUACCAAUCAUGUGGUUUCACGCUUUCUCGCUUUAAUAUCCUGUGGUUUAAAGUGUAUCAAUUUAGUAAUAUGUGAUUUUAUUAUUUUUUUUUUGUCAGCUCUUUCGUUAACACUUCAUUAGAUUAUAUACAAAAAACUUCAAAUAUCUCAUCUAGAUUUCUCGAGUAUUUACUUGAGUACCUUUUAGUUUUAACUUUAUCACAAUUUUAAGAAAAAAAAAAUAGUAGAGGGGAUAAUAAAAAGAGAAAAAUAAAAUCAUGAGGUACUAAAUUGAUACAUUUUAAACCACAUGGUACUAAAAUAAAAAAGAACAAAACCACAGGGAUGGUAUUUGAAGUUUUUUCUAAAAUUAAUUAGAAAGGUAAAAUUUAUUAACAGGAUUAAAUUUAAAUUAAACAAGGAAACACUAAAUUUUACCUUGCGUUCUUAAGAUAGGAUACUAAAAUACUAAAAUUUAUAAACAGGAUUAAAAUUAAUUGUAAAGUUAAAAUUUAUUAACAGGACUAAAUUUAAAUUAAACAAGGAAACACUAAAGUUAAAACUUUCAUUGUGUUGCUAAGAUCGGAUACUAAAAUACUAAAAUUUAUAAACAGGAUUAAUGUUAAAUCAUAAAGUUAAAAUCCAUAAAGAGGAUUAAAAUUAAUUAUAAAGCUAAAAUUAAUUAAUAAGACUAAAUUUAAAUUAAAAAUAGAAACGAGCUCUUAUCAUAAAGUUAAAAAUCCAUAAACAGGAUUAAAAUUAAUUAUAAAGCUAAAAUAAUUAAUUAAUAGGACUAAAUUUAAAUUAAAAAUCACUAAAAUUUAUUAAUAGGAAUAGAUUUAAAUUAAAAAUAGAAACACGCCCGGUGGGACUCGAACCCACAAUCGCCUGAUUAGAAGUCAGACGCCUUAUCCAUUAGGCCACGGGCGCUCUUCGGAUUAAAAAUUAUAACAAAAUAUAUUUAUAUGUUAUUAAAUUAAAAUGUCAUUUAUUAAUAAAAUUGAAUAUAACCUACAAUGAUGUAGAUAAUAAUUAAGACUAAAAAAUAUAUGUUAGAGCAUCAAUAUUUAUGUAAUUUCAGUAUUGAUAAAUGAUGAUGAUCAUUAUAUAUGAUUCAACCGCGUAGUAACAUUUGAAUGUAAUGGCAAUUUAACAAUUUUAGCGUGGAAUUUAUGGGGAUAAUUUCCGCGUAUGAUUAAUUUAAAAGUCCCCCCCCCCCCUUUCUUUUUAUGUAAUAUUUAAAAGAUUCGUUGGUGUUGCAUUCAAUCAUGUGAAUGAAGGAACGCAUAAUAACAAGUAUGACUUCUUUAUAAUAAAAGUUAUAAUAAUAUUUGUGGCUAAGUGGAGUUUGUCAUUAUUAUUUUUAUAGCAAAUUUAACUAUCUGCCUUUCUUUUUUAUUUUAAUGGGGCUUCAUUUGUGUUUUAGAAAUGAACCCAGAACUUAGAAUUUUAGAUACUAAUCAUCAAAUUUUUAAACAAGUGCGUUAGGUACCGUUAGUAAAUGAAUUUGAUUGUCAACUAAAGUGGAGGUGAGAAUGUCAGAUUGAAUAACACAUAUUAGGAUUUCAAAAAAUAUAGAAUCUAAAUUUACUAUAAAUAAAAGUAUGUUUUUUUAAAAAAAAGCGGAUUGGUUGAUAUGGUAUAUUUUAUCAUUUCUCACCUAUUAAAUUUAAAUGUAAUUCUAAUCAGACCUUGAUAGUAAAUCGAUCUGAAUUCUAAAUAAAGAGAUAUUAGUCCCGCCAUCUUCUCAUAAUCUGAUAUAAUCUCUCCAUCAUAUAUUUUUCAGUUAGAAUUUGUUUGACCCUACUUUUUCAAGUGCAUGUUUUGAAGCAAGACAAGUAAUUAAGCUUGUUUUAAUAGGUUUCUGGAAGCUACUUUGCAGAGCUCAAGCUUCCUGCAAAAGCUCCCCCCAGUGCUAAAUUGGGCAGUCGGGCACAACUCACAAGUGCUGCUAAACAUGGUAUCGGCCACAUAAUUUGGCCUAGUACAUAUUUCAGAAAACAGAAGCUUUAAAUCUGAACUUUAACUUCUACAUUUUCAUAUUUAUAAUUAAAUUUUAUAUAUAUAUAUAUAUAUAGGUAGUUUAUAGUAGUAGGUAACGUAUUAGUAUAAUAUAUAUAUAGCAGGGUUUUACUAGUUAAGCCAGCAGCAUCCUUAUGCUUCCUAAUUUUUCUAAUACCCAGCAAAUUUUGAUAGAUGGUUAAAUGGAGCAGGAGAGGGAGAGAUGGAGGGAGAUAUGGGAGAAUUUGAAUGGUUUCAAUUUCUUUUCUCCUUGGGAAUUUAGAUCCAAUAUCUCCUCCUUCUCUCAUUCUAAUUCCACCCAUCAAACCUUAAUGAAUGCGUUAGAAAAUUUAGGAGCAUAAGCGCCUCGCCAUCUCCUAAUCAGGCACAAUAGCCCCUACUUUUAUCAUAUAUAGAGAUAUAGUAUAUAUACUGCUACUAGCUGAUCAGAUAGUUACCAAACCUUGUACUAUUGAUUUUCGGCCGUUGGAUGAAAUGCAUGUGCGGUUUAGGAUGAUAGUGGUCCCUAGUUAAAGAGUUGAUAGGUGGCUCCCCCGUAGGGUUGAGGUGGGUGUUUGUUUAAUCAGGUACUAAUCUAACGGGUGGAAAUAAUCAAAGGGUAGACUCUAACGGAUAGAAACUCAAUAAGUACCAAAGGGGCGGUUGGUACUAUCGAUUAAGUAUAGGUAAGGGACUAUAUUAUAUAUAUAUAUAGAUUCAGCUGAAAAUAACUCUUGUGAAUAGUAAAACGCUGCUUUUUGCUUGGCUAUAGUUUUUACCUUGAUGGAAAAAUUGUGCUAGGGGUUAAGGAAUAAAUAUUAGUCGGUUAAGGGAGGUCUGAGUGGGAGCAACUAGGCGUUAUGGAAGUGCGUCAAUGAACCCACUGGGUGGUAUAGAUAUUCUAUCCAAUGCAUUAGAAACAAUUAAAAAGAGCUUGAUCCAGAAGGUAAAAAAAUUGUAGCCAACAGUGAGGAUUUUUGGCUACUAAUAGUAGCCCAGUCCACAGUCUCUCUCGUCUCUCUCUCUCUCUCUCUCUCUCUCUCUCUCGUCUAUUAUAAUGGUAUAUAAGUAGUAGACUAAUAAUUAUAUAUAUAGUAAUUAUAUAAUAUUAUCGCGUAGUAACAAGUCGUUCUUACUACCAGAUUUUGUUUUUCGAGGAUAGAGGGGCUUGCUAAAUUGACGAUUCGGCUUCCGUUAAAUAAUGAUCUAAACCAUUUAAACAAAUACCUAGAAAUCAAAUAUUCACGCACUUGAUCAGAUAUUGUUCUUUAUUCCAAUCAACGUGAAUAAAAAAACGAUGGAAAUGGCCUGAAAAGAUAAAUACUCUUAUAAAAAGUAAAAAAUGAUGAGUAGAGAGUCUUGCAAUCAAGAUCAAGAAGUAUAGAAUCUUAAGUUUAAAAGAAUAUUUCUAAACAAAAAUAUCAAUUGAUUCUGGUAUACUUUACAGCAACUACAAACAAAAUGGUCAUAUUAGCGACACUUUGUGAAUAUAGGUACAUGCAAAAAAAGUGACUUAGGCUAAAAUUACCGACACUUUUAAAAAGUGUUACUGAUAUGGUUGGGCGAUCCUAGGGAGGUAUAUAGUGCAGUUACUAGAGCGUCGCUAUAAGCUAAAAGAGUGCUAGGCCUAAUUUGACGCAACACUUAUUAAGCAUUUAGCAACCGCCGAACUCAUAUCUCGAUUGGAUACGGUGGCGCGCGCAGGGAAGAGCGACGACACCAGAAAGGCCUCGUGUAAACGUCUAGAAUUUCAGUGAAGUAGAGCCUGAAGAGAGAAGAAAGAAUGGGUAAAUUGAUUUUUCUGUUUUUUUUUUUCUCUUUUCUCUUUAAAGAUAAUCGGAACCAAAUUGUUGACUCGGUUGUGUGCGUUGAGUUGAGUAGAGGUAAUCUUUUAUUUUUAGUUGGAUUGGGCUUUUAUUUAGGCAUUGUAGAUAUUUUUUUAAGUUUUAGGAUAAAUGGGCACGUUACUCAAAAAGCUGUCCGCAAACAUGGUUGCUCCCUAUAACCUAAUUCUGUUGUAGGGACGCCGGGUUGGGCAGUUAACAAAGAAAACGGCCUCUUACGACUAUUAAAAUUCAAUUUUUGAAACCUUUGAUCAUUAGGCAAUGGAUUGUCGGAAAGAUUAAAAUUUGAUUCUUUUCAAACACUUCAAGUGUCAUUAGAUCAUGUUCAACGGACCGAUCGUCAAUUUGGACAGCCCUAUCAUCGAAAACAAAUCGGUUAGUAAUGAACGCGUUCGUUUACUAGCCGAUUGUAUUCUAGUCAGAGUUGAGCUAGGAAUACUAUCGCGUAGUAACGGAGCCGUUUACCUCACCGAUUUGCUUCGAUGAUAGAGCUUCCAAAUUGACGAUCGGCUCCGUUAAAUAUGAUCUAAACUAUUUAAACUACCUAGAAAUUAAAUUUCACGCACUUUUGAUAUUGUUCUUUUAUUCAUCAAGUGAACAAAAAAAUGAAUGGCUGAAAAUAAAUACUCUUUAAAAAAUGAUGAUAGGAGUCUUGCAAUCAAGAUCAAGAGUAUAGAUCUUAAGUUUAAAAAAUUUUCUAAUAAAAAUUCAAUUGAUUUGGAUAUCUUUACGCCGUUAAACAAGAAAACGCCUCUUAUCGACUAUUAAAAUUACAAAUUUUGAAACCCUUUGAUCAUUAGGCAAAUGAUGUCGAAAAGAUUUAAAAUUUGAUUUCUAAACACUUCAAGUGGUAUAGAUCAUGUUCAACGGAGCCGAUUGUCAAUUUGAAAGUUCUAUCAUCAAAAACAAAUCGGUAGUAAAACGACUCGUUUACUACCGAUAGUAUUCUAGCUCAACUAUAUAUAUAUAUAAUAGCAAAAUAUGCUAAAAAUAUAUAUAUUCAUAAUAGCAAAAUAUGCUAAAAAUAUGCUAAACUUUUCAUUAUUGAAUUUCAAGAUUUUAGUUUUUUCUCAAGCGUUUUUUUUAUUCUUUUUCUACCCAAUUUACCAACCAACACAACAAAGCCAAUAAACAUAAAUAAAUAAAUAAAAGCAUCAUUAAUUUCAUCAUUGCCAUAACUAACAAUAUUAAUUAUUACUCAUAACCAUAUCAUGAUAUAGUAAUAUAAUAAUAAUAAUAAUAAUUGAACCUCAAAAGGAACUCAACCAGAGAUCACACAACAAACACUCUCCAAUUCUCCACCAUCGAUCUCAAUUAGAACCCCCCUCAACAAAAAGGAGAAAAGCAUAAAACAAAAACCAAAAAAAAAAAAGAGAAAAAAACAAAUGAAAAACUAAAACAUGCAUAUAUGCACCAUAUAUCAUCAUCCCCAGGCAACGUUAUACACACGUACGUAUUGUGUGUGUACGCAUGUAUGUAGAUUGAUCAGUACGUACGUACGUAGAAUUGUGAUUAAUGACUAGGCCGUGAGCUCUUCCUCCUUGUGGGUCUCGAUGACGAGGUCGGAGCGGGGGUAGGCGACGCAGGUGAGGACGUAGCCGGCGGCGAUCUGGUCGUCGUCGAGGAAGCUGCCGUCGGACUGGUCGAUCUCGCAGGACGAGCAGGAGCCGGCGCGGCAGGAGUAGGGCAGAUCGAUCCCCUGCUCCUCCACCGUGUCCAGGAUGUACACGUCCUCCGGGCAGCUCACCUCCACCUCCCCCGUCGGCGUUAUCAGCUUCACCUUGUACGCCAUCGCCGUCAUCCGUCCCCCCCGCCGCACUCCCACUCCCACUCCCACUCCCGCUCCCGCUCCCGCCCCGCCAAACAGACCGCCGCCACCCCCCGCCCUGCGGGGGAACGCGACGGUACUGCGCGGGGCAAACAAGGGCGUGGCCGUGGGCGGCGACGACAGAGCUGCUAUGGUAGCGGUGGCGGCCGCCAUUGAAUUGUUUAGACUUGGUGGUGGAGAAUGUGGAGGAGUGUGGAGAGGGAGAGAUAAGAGGAGGGCGGGGUAGGAUAUAAGAUGAGGGGGUGGAGGGUGGGGAGGGGUGACACGUGGAGGGAGAUGAGUGGGUGGGUUAUCCUGCGUUAGGGGAUAGGGGGAGUGAGCACGUCCACACGAUGGUUGAUGGGUGGUGAUUAGCGAUUGGUGAUCGGGGGAAGAGGGAGAGAUAGGGGGAGGAGAUCACGUGCAUCUGUUUUGGGUUGGAGGGUGGGAGAUCCGGUUUGAAUUUGUGGUUCGGAUUGAAGCUCAUUUUGUUCUCUCACCCAUUUUAGACUUAAAUAAGUGCUCAAAAGUCGGAAGUACUAGUUUCUUUAUAUUUUCAAUAAUAAAGCAGCUUUAUACACACACACACACGUAUAGAAUUGAGCUCCUAUACUUUUAGGCCAUGUUUGGUAAUAGGAUAAUUUCUUCGGGGUUAAAUUUUUUUAUUCCUAGAAUAUUGAGAUAUUCUAGGAUAGAGAGGAAUGAAAGUAAUUUUUUGUUUGGCAAAAUUUUUACUUAUUCUCUACAAUAGACAAAAUGAUGUUUGGUAACUUUCUUGAAAAAAGAGAAGAAUAAUUAGUAAAAUUGAUUGAAAUAUUUUAAAAUGCCAAGUUUGCCCUUAUAUAUACAGUGAAUUUUUUUCUUUGUAUAAUACAUAUACAAUACUUGAUAAAUUUGAAUAUAAUUUUUUCAAAUAUAAUUACAAUACAAAAAUUAUAAUUAAGAAAUAAUAAUUUUUUUGUGCAGAGCAGUGCAAUAUGCAGUAAGUAAGAUAAUUUUAAAUUAAUUUAUACAAUUAGAAAUCUAUAAUAACCAAUAAUAUAUGCAAUAGUAAUUAAUUUAUUUAACUGUCAAUAAAUUUACAUAGUUAAACAAAAAUCCUAAUAUAAAUUUACAUAGUUAAAUAAAAAUCCUAAUAUAAAUCUUAAUACAUUGAACAAACCAAAUCUCUAUAUGCUCAGAGAAGAUACGAGAGUUUUGAUAAGUGGGUAAAGUGGCGCGGUUUUCAAGGCAACCCAAAAAGAAGGCCGCUGCCUCUCGGGUUUCAGGAAUAAAUCUUAUUCCAUGGUUGGGAAAGAAUUAAAUUAACGGGUUAUUCUACUGAAAAUUGGAAUAGUCCGAUUUGACCAGUAUAAAUUGUUUUGGUACUUUUUUUUCGUUAGGCAGAAUAACGAGAAUAAAUUUGAUUAUUCUGUAGUUAUUCCGUUACCAAACGGAGCCUUUAAAAGCAUAAAGUCAUUGAUGCUUGUCAGUUUACAGCCUUUGGAUGAAGAUUUAUAGGGGUUAGGAUAACAGUGAUGACCUAUAGGGUUGAUAGGUGGCUGGUGGAAUAGCAUAAUCUAAGGAGCGGAGUUGGUCAAAGAAAUAAAUCUAACGGUAGAAAACUUAUAAGUACCAAAAGCUUGGUACUUUUAAAAAUGCCAUAGCUGGACUAUAUAGAGAGAGAGAGGGAGAGAGAGAGAGAGAGAGAGAGAGAGAGAGAGAUAUUAGAUAUUACUGUUUUUAGCAUUUGAAAUGCAAAUGAUGUCUAGGAUCUGGCCCAACUAAGAUUAACUGUAGAGCCCCACUAUCAAACUAGGCUCAUAAAAGUCCAGGCCCUGUUAUUGGCUUUUGUCCAUUCAGAUCCAACAAGGAAAAGCAUGGUCAUUUUGAAGUGGGCCUCAUCCUAGGUCUAAUACAUUUUUAACUUGUCCUAAAAAAACAAUUUUAAAGUGCUAAAUUUUGACCCAACCACAAUUUAAUGGGCUAGAGUAACAACAACACUAUGUAUCAAUUUGUUUCUUUUUUUUCAAAAUAAAAAUAAAAAUUGUUCCACCAAAAUUGUUCGGCUGGAUAAUUUAAAUUAUCGGAGAAGAAAGAAUUUUGAAGUUUAUUGAUUGUAAAGAAAAUUACAAUAGAUGAAAACAAAAGUAAUUUGGUUUGGAUUCUCUGCUUAGACUUGACCUUUCAAAGAACGCUACGUUCGGCCGUUUGGAACAAAUAGAACUAUAAAUCUUUGAGAACUUAUCAAUUCGGUCAAAAAUCUUAAUUAUGAUUGAAACCUUUGAAGAACUUGUCAAAGGAAAGAGUUAAAUCUAUUAACUACUUAAUCUGUUCUCCAACUAAAACUAGCAGAAACUACUGAAUGCUAAAACUACCUACACUCUCUAAACCUCUUUCUCGAACUCUUAAAUUUUUCUUGAAUGAAUGCAUCAAUCAGUAAUUCCUUUUACCCUCUCUCUUUAGGUAUAUAUAGCCUUUAUAAAUCGGACUCCGAGUCCUACAAAAUUUCAGUCAAAUUUUGAAAUCUUACUUUGCAGUUAUCUCUUUAUUUAUGAUGAAUGGCCGAGAUCGCUUGAUGCAAUGGUUUAGAUUUCUUCUUUCUUAUUCAAGUCUAUCUCAUCUUUUUUAAGUAUCAAAGGCUCAGAUCAAAAAUCGGGAAAGAUGUAACUCGUCCUAAACCCGCCCCUAUCCACCAAGCAAAUACAGCGGGAGACGAGAGACCCUUUUCUUUCUUUAAUCCGUCCCGAUCCGUCGAAAGUCUACCAAAAAUCUGCUCCAACCUUGAUUCACCCCGAAUAAAACAGUAAGUGAGAGCCAAAACUAGGAUUAAAAAUAAUUCGCUCAGAAUCUGCUCUGACUCGACAAGAAAUUUAGCAAAAAGUAAUUCAACGAAAAAUCCCUCCUGCACCCAGGAUCUAUCUUGUGCAUCUAACGCUAACAAACAAACUAGAUAUUGAAAAAACAAAGUAUGUAGAGAUAUGUAUUUAUGCUUUGCAAUGGAACCACAAAAAAUAUAUUAUCACCGAUUAAUUGCGAUAUAUGAAACACAAUAUUACUUAUGAAAAUAAAUAAAAAAUUAUUUAUUCAAGUAAAGUAAUCACCUCGUCAUACUAAACAAAGCCUUCUUAUUUCUCUAACAAUAACAAUAAAGAAAAGAAAAAACUUUAAAUAUCACUCCCUAUAUUUUCACGUUUUCUCACUUCAGUACUAUGUGAUUUAAAAUGUAUCUAUCCUAUAAUUUUAUUUUUCUCUUUCCGUUAUUCUCUAUAUUAAUUUUUUCGUUAAAUCAGUGACAAAAUUAAAACCAUAUAAUAUUACAGUACCAAUUCUGUAAACCAAAGAAUAAUAAGGUGAAUAUUUGAUAAAUUAUAGAUAGGGUAUCUGAACGAAAAGUUAACGGANAAAAAAAAAAAAAAAAAAAAAAAAAAAAAAAAAAAAAAAAAAAAAAAAAAAAAAAAAAAAAAAAAAAAAAAAAAAAAAAAAAAAAAAAAAAAAAAAAAAAAAAAAAAAAAAAAAAAAAAAAAAAAAAAAAAAAAAAAAAAAAAAAAAAAAAAAAAAAAAAAAAAAAAAAAAAAAAAAAAAAAAAAAAAAAAAAAAAAAAAAAAAAAAAAAAAAAAAAAAAAAAAAAAAAAAAAAAAAAAAAAAAAAAAAAAAAAAAAAAAAAAAAAAAAAAAAAAAAAAAAAAAAAAAAAAAAAAAAAAAAAAAAAAAAAAAAAAAAAAAAAAAAAAAAAAAAAAAAAAAAAAAAAAAAAAAAAAAAAAAAAAAAAAAAAAAAAAAAAAAAAAAAAAAAAAAAAAAAAAAAAAAAAAAAAAAAAAAAAAAAAAAAAAAAAAAAAAAAAAAAAAAAAAAAAAAAAAAAAAAAAAAAAAAAAAAAAAAAAAAAAAAAAAAAAAACUAUAGAAUACUAAAAUGAUAUAUUUUAAACUAUAAUUUUUUUUUUUUAGAGAAAGAUAGCAUACUAUCUGUUUCGUUUAUUUUUUGUAGAAAUAAACUCAGCUGGAAAUGUGAAUCAACUAGAAAUCGAAUUUGGGAUCUCGGGUACCAACCAUCGAACCUUUUGUCACUUGCGUGAGGAACGGUCGGUUAAAAAGUAUUAAAGUGAAAAAGUGCGAAAUUACAUAGAUGAUAUUUGAAGUUUACCCUAAUAAUAACAAUAAUAAUGAUAAUGAUAAUGAUAAUGAUAAUGGAGAUGAUAUGAUAUUGUUGAGCACGAUUGAGCAGAGAUGAAGCCACACGCGUCCACCAACCCUCGCAAGGUUUGGGGGUUGUCACGUGCGGGGAGCGUGCACACGUGGAGUUUGACCGGCUUCCAUUGUCACAAGGCACGCGUGAAAGGGUGACUCGGUUGCCGGCCGCCCGUAUACGUAGUUCAAUGAAUUUACUUUCUCGCUNUGAAGAGCUAAUAAUAGUAAGCAGGGAAAUUAGGGGUGGAGAAGGGGACGAGGGGGCGGGAGCAGGAGGAGCAGUGGAACCUGCGCUUGGUCCUGAAGCAGAUGGGGAGGAGGAAGCAGAACCUGCAGGCGCUCUCGACGUCGGCGGCGACGACGCCGCCUCCGCAGAACGGGCAGCUCCCCGGCGCCUGCUGCGGCGCCCCCACCACCCUCUCCUCCUCGUCGCACACCAACACCACCGGAAUACACAUCUCCUCCUCCCCCCUCCUCAAUUCCCUCAAUUCCCCCAAUUCCCCUACUACCGCUACUACUAAGAUCUCGAUUUCUCUCUCUCUCUCUCUCUCUCUCUCUCUCUCUCUCUCUCUAUAUAUAUAUAUAUAUACUUUUACGAAGAGGAAGGGGUUUGUUGUUGUUGAGAAGAAUCAGAUGCGCAACGGAGGGAAAGGAAGGUUCUAUAGACUUCUAGGAUCCUCUCUAAUUUCAAACACUAGAAAUUACUGUGAGACAAAAAAAAAAAAAAAAAAAAAAAAAAAAAAAAAAAACUUUAAAAAUAAUUACAAUCAAAUUUCACUAAUCCAAUUUAGUUGAUCACUUGGGCCGUUAGAACGAAACUCAAAAUGCUCCAGUCUUUUAUUUAUCAACAAACGUCACGUCACGUCACGUCUUUUUUUUUUGGAUAAAAUUUUUGAUUCUUCGAAAAUGCUACGCAAGCCCAUCAAACAGCUAAUUGGAUUCUGUCUAGUAAAAAAUAAAUAUACUGUGUGCUUUUUUCUUUUUCUUUUUUUGAGGAAUUCUUUAAUUCUGUAUCGUCUUAUUUUGUUUAAAUAAAUUUUUCGCUCUCGAGCAAUUUUCCUCAAAAAAAAAAAAAAUGACGCGUUCAUGUGAGAUAUUAAUUUUUGACGCAUCAUCAAUCACAAUACUGCUAUGUCACUUCCAUAUUAAUGAUGCAUCAAUAUUUAGUCAAUUGAAUUGGGUUGUAUGAAUUGAUUGUAAUAAUUUUGAAAAUUCAAAAUACAAAUCACAACAAAUUGAAUUUUGAUGAUCAAGGUAUCACCAAUAAAACAAAAAAAAAAGAGACUACUAUUGAUUUGGGAAAAAGAAGUAUUGAUUUUUGACAAAAUUGAAUAAAAAUUUAUCACAAGUAUUUUAUAAUAGUAAAGAUAUUCCUCCCACGGCGAAAAUAUGUUGGAAUGAAAGUACAAUGAAAGAUUUUUUUUUUUUUCUGCUAAUACUAUAGAAAUUAUAUUUUAAUUAACUUAUUACAAUAUGCGUGAUAUAAUAUUAUUUAUGAAAAUAAAUAAAUUACUUCCUAUUGGAACAAUCUUAAUAGUUUNUUUUUUUUUUUUUUUUUUUUUUUUUUUUUUUGCACAUAUACCCUCCAAAAGGUCAGGCUUUUACACUCCAAAAUCUUGUUAUUUAUUUAUAUUUUUGAAGACCCAAUUGCUUACAUAAAUGCACUAUUUCAGCUAGGAUUUUUUUUUUUAUUUUAAUUUUCUUUUGGUGAGGGUGCUUGUAGCCCCACUCCUCCCUCCCAACACAAGAGUCGCACAAAUUUAAUGGCUUAUCCAAAAAAAAAAAAAAAGUGAGAAAAUGAUACACAUUGCAAAUUAUAGAUUAUCCAUUUGAGAUUAUUAUGAUAGUCAAACUCAGAAACACAUAUAUAAUAAUAUGAGAAAAUGAUACACAUUGCAAGUAUAGAUUAUGCAAUGUGAAUUCUUUUUGAAAAAAAUGUAAAUAACCAGAUUGUUUAGCAUGCAUUUUUAUUGCGUGAGCUGAUUGAAGAGAUAAUAAAUCAAAAUUUAAAAAUGAAUGAGAAUGUCAUGUGCAAGCGACCUGAGUCCAUAAUCUUGUGAGAAUCGAGAACCUUUAUCUUUGUUGAUAUGAUAUCCAAUUUUAACACUAAAAUGUGGAUGAAUUUGAGGAUUGUUGGCUUAAAUGAGCCAGCAUUCUGCUCUGUGACAGGAGGCUAAGUAAGCCGAGUCACGUUCGAAUUGGCGUGAGGCUAGAUUGGGCCGAGUCAUGUUAGAAGGGGCGUAAGGCUAGGUGUGCCGAGUUAGAAUCCAGACCCUUGGGCGCUAUAUCUGUACGCUUUAAGUGAAUUAAUUGCGUAUUUCUAACAGCUCGAGCUUUUGGGAUUAAUAGUUAGCACCAACGAUCCGACAAGUGGUAUCAGAGCCAGAGUUCACGAGUUUGAUUCCCGCAUGCUGCGAAUUUGUGUAGGUACUGGAGGGGGGAUUGUCAGCUUAAAUGGGUCAGAGCCAGAGAUCACGACUUCAAUAAAAUUAAUGCUGCGAAUUUGUGCAAGUGAUGAAGGGGGGAUUGUCAGCUUAAAUGGGCUAGUAUCCUGCCUUCUGGCGUGAGACAGGAUUGGGCCGAGCCAUAUUCGAAGUGGCGCAAGGCUGAAUGGGCUCAGUCACAAUCGAGAUCCGUGAAUACUGUAUUUAUACGUUUUAAGUGAAUUGUUAUGUAUUUCUAACAGCUCAACCUUUUAGGGUUAAUGAUUAGCGCCGAGUCACAAUCGAGACCCGUGAACGCUGUAUCUGUAUGUUUUAAAUAAAUUGGUUAUGUAUUUCUAGUAACUCGAAUUUUUAGGAUCAAUGGUUAGCACCAACGAUCCGACAAGAAUUACAUGUGUACUAGACGGACAAAGCCAAGAAGGAUUUCGGCAUAAGAUUUGAGAUUUGACAGAGAGAUAUAGAUUUUACUGAAGACCGUUUCAAACGAACGCCACAGCAAAACCCAAAAAAGAAUGAUUUGAAAUGUAGGACCAUACAAAUAAUUGGAAUUCAAAUGAUUACUGUCGAAUACGGGCGUGAACGCGAGCGAGCUCGGUCUCAUGCCGAACACGAGCUAACCAACGGACAAUAAGUUAAAUGGAUUAGAUUAUAUAUAUACAAAAAAUAAAUUUAUAAAAUCUUACCCAUUAGACUUUGAUCUAAUAGUUAGAAUUUUACAUAUAAAUAAGUCUUUUUAUAAUUGAGCUCGGCUUUAUAUUUUUUCUUUACUAAACAUAAAAUAAUAAAAAUAUAUAUUAUAUAUAAUUAUUUAUUGAGGAAAACUUUAAAUACCAUCUAUGUGGUUUUACACUUUCUUAUUUUAGUGUCAUGUGGUUUAAAGUGUAUCAAUUUAGUACACUGUGGUUUUCUUUUCAUCCUUUUAUUAUCGAUUUCACUAAUUUUUUUUCGUUAAAUUAAUGACAAAGUUAAAACUAAAGGAUGCUAAAGUAAAUAUUCGAUAAAUCUAGGUGAGGUGUCUAAAUUUUUUUUACAUAAUUCAACGAAAUAUUAACGAAAAAGCUGACGAAAAGAUAAAAACGAAACCACAUGUGUCACGCCCCGGAUUACACUUUCCCCGGGCACGCCGACAAAUCCGCCGUAUACAAAGGAAUUUCCCCUAUAUACGAAGCGUUAGCUGUACCUGUAAAUCAAACACUACUACGAACAGUAGUAGAGAGCUGCUAGAGAAAACAGAAGCUAAACAAACUGAGUUUCAUAUACAUAGUCCAAAUCCAAAAUACAAAGCUACUCGCACUGGCGAGUUAAGUCCACUAUGUACAUAAACUCGAAACAAAACAUCUACCUGCAGUAGGGGCACCUCUAGCUCAGCACGUCGGGUAGGGCUCUAACUCGCGACGCCCUUACCUCGAUCCUGAUCCGCGGAAGGCGCAGCAGCCGAAACCUGUGGCUCUGCAAAACGGGGGUAACAACUGGGCGUGAGAACUACUAUAAAAACAAGUAGUCCUCAGUGGGUACCGCCCAAAACAACAUCGGUCCACCCACUAAGUCUACAGGAGGGAGCAAGAAUAGUAGGAAAAGCAGGAAACAAACUCAACCGCUACAAAUCACUAUACUAUCAUGCUCUACACUAACCAACUGUAGGAAAUGUCAAAUCUGACCCAAUCCAAUCGGGACUGUAGACAUACCCGUCCCUGGGACUGUGAACACACCCGUCCCUGCCCCGUUGCGACUAUCGGGCUCUAUCCACACUAACUGGUCCGUGGAGAGCAAGUCCAACUGGCAUGAGCGACACCAACGCAAAAGCACAAGCCUGACUCCGGAGUGGCACUCGUGGGCGCUACCCAACCGAGUAUGCAGCGUAUCUCUGUCGAGCUCAAUCAGGCUCCAACUAGCCAAAGUCAAGUAAUCGACUUAAACUGGUCUAACAACCAACAGGUAACGUGCCCUCGGCACAAUCUGACGCCAAAAAGGCGAUACGGUCCACCGUCAACUCUGACGGCACCCAACAGUCCGAAACGGCCUGAACGACCCUGCAAAAAUUCACUCGGCGAACCAGCACGAGUGUAAAUACAUUCUAAACUACCCAAGGUAUCCAUUGCACUGACUCGGCAACGAUACAAUCGAACACGGCUCCUAGAGCUAAAUCUGGUAGUUUAAGCAUAUGACGGGUCAAAACGCAGGUUUUCUCCUAAGUCAAAUUUCAAGUCCAACAUGUAUAAUUUAAAUAUUCAUUUCAGCAUGCUUCUACAUUCAUAUUACAUUCAAAAUGCUAAUCGAUGAAUUAAAGCAUGAUUUACAACACUCGAACUAUACACGUUGACUAACAUGCACUUAGGAGCGAAACCGAUGAAACACCCACCUCUAAUGCAAUUCCUGGCAGCAAUAGGGUCUCGGAUCCUCAAGCAACACUGCUGGAAACCUCUUCAAACCAGCAACAAAGCCCCUUAAGAUCUGGAUUUACAAUGCACCCAAAAAUCCAAUAAAAAUCAUCAAAAUCCACAAUUCAGUCCAAGUACACAGCAGCAGAGAAGAGAAGGGUUUCGACCAAGCUAACCUUCACCAAAAUCCACAAGUAAGGACUUCGUGGAUUCUUCUCGCAGUCCCGAAACCAACGAAUCAAGUCUCGACGAAAUCCGAUGCUCCUACGUCGAGUACGAGCUGAAAUACUAACAGUCGACGAUGAAUUUCAGCAAAACAGCAUUUAAGCUUAAAUAUCUCAAUUCCAAUGUCAAAACUCACCAAACGAACUCCAAAUCAGGUGGAGAGGGUCCCAAUUCCAGUACUGGGUGAUAGGGAAAAUAACUCAACUCCACAAAGCCCCUGCUUCCCAAGUUCACCCCAAGAAAACAUCAAAAAUUGGCAAAUUCUGUCCAAAGCAACAACAGCAGAGGAAAACCUGAGUUCGACUGAGCUAACCUUCACCAAAUUCUGCAAAUUAGGGCUUCGUGGAUUCCUCUGGAAGUCAAGAAUCCAGCAAACCAAGUUUCGUUGAAAUCCGACCUUCCUACGUCACGCACGAGCCAAAACACUGGAGGUCGUCGCUGAAGAACUGCAAAAUCAGCACCUUGCAAUUCUUGGAGAGGUGGAUCUUGAUGCAAAUUGGAAAGAUUUGAGGGAUUUGGGAGUAAAAUCUAAGUCCUCUGUGAAGAACAGGUAAAAGAGCUCAAAGGGGGCGCUUCUCAGCUAUUUAUAGGCUGCUGGAUAGAUCAGAUAAGCCCCAGGAAAAAUAGCCGCAAUCCAGUGCCCCUGCAGAAACGGGCGUUUCUGGGCGCCCGGAACCAUGUUCUGGGCGACCAGAACAUCCGGCCUGCACAAAAUGGGCCCCUCGGACUCUCCGCCCGCGGUGUGCUGCGCCCGUAAACGGCACCGGCGGAACUCACCUACCGCCCUGCCACGCGUCGAAGCAAGCGAUAUUCACGAGGUGAAAUUUCUGGACCCACUUCUGGGCGCCCGGAACAUAGGAUCCGAAUUGGCUUCCAGUUUCAAUUAAAAUCAACACUCGUUUCUGGGCGACCCUAACAAUGUUCUGGGCGCCCGAAUCUGGCAAAACUUCAGUUUUGCUUAUUUGAGUGCGCCGAGUCCAAUUCUGCAUCCAAUUCGUGCAGAAUUGACUCCGACUCAGUCCGACACUCUCCAGAGAUGUCGACCAGUCUAUAAUACUGAAGCCAAUCCUAUCCAAAGCUCAGGAACACUACAACAUGACACUAACUUAAUACACUUUAAACUACAGGGUACUAAAUUGAGAAAGUGUGAAACCACAGAGGUAGUAUUUGAAGUUUACCCUUAUUUAUUUAUAGGGGCAAUUUCAUAGAUACCCCUUUCAAAGCUUAAAAUAUUAUGUAUGCCCUUCUAAAGAUUAAAAUAUCAUAUAUACCCCUGUAAAUAUCGAAAAUUAACAUCAAUACCCCUACUGUUAGUUGUUCUAACUUUACCAUAGUUAUUAAAUGGUUAAAGAUGGGUUAACUUUUAAUAUNAAAUUAACAUCAAUACCCCUACUGUUAGUUGUUCUAACUUUACCAUAGUUAUUAAAUGGUUAAAGAUGGGUUAACUUUUAAUAUGACCAGUUUACCCUUAGCUCCCUUAAGUAAAAAUGUAUGGAGACCCCCUCAACUAUAUGUCCUUUUAAAACAGCUUCCUCAACUUUUAUAUUUUAGUUGACAUUCCAUUAAUUUUUAGUUUUUAAAAUAUUAACUAAUUUUAGUACAUGAAAAAUGAGAAUUUUGUCAAGUUUUUUUUGAUGAUUUCACUAAAUUUAGUGGCGCUAUUUAUAUUUUUAGCAAAUAAAUAACUAUGUAUAAAAAUUUAAAUAAAAAACAAAGUUGAGGAUUUUUUUCGAUCUUUCUUUAAUCUUGGAAGCUUCCAAAAUAUUUUAACCAAAAUUAUUCACGAUAAUUUUAUCUGUAUUAAAUGCAUUAAAAAACUGAAAUAUAAUAUAUUUUAGCUUUUGAACAAAACUCUCUCUCUUUUUUUUCAAUCGACAAAAAAAAUGCAUGCAUAUAGUUUUGUGAUUUAUUUUUGCUUAAAUAGAAAAAAAAAAUUAAAUCUACCAUUUAUUUCAAAAUUACUAUUACUGAUUAGGAAUGCGAAUUGAUAUAGGUAUAUCUGAACUCAAUUUUGAAUGGAUGAACUUAAUUGAUGCUGAGUAGAGAUAGUUUCAGUUAUAGGUGCAAAAAAAGAAGUCUCAUUAUAUUCUAAUUCAGUUAUGAUUUUGAUCUAUAUCCAAACGGAACUUGAACCGAAAUCCGAAGUCAAAAACAAAACCAAAAUUAUAUAAAAACAUAUUAUAUAUAAAAUACAUUUUUUUAUAUAUUUUUAAUAAAUAAUAUAUAUUAUAAUUUUUUAUAUAUUGGAGGGUAUUUAUGAUAUUAUCAAUUUUAGAAGGGUAUUGAUGAAAUUAAUGGUUUCCAUAAGGGCAUCUAUGAAAUUAUCCCUUAUUUAUAUAUAUAAAUAUAUAAUAUAAAUUAAAUAAAUUAUAUAAAUAUAAAAUAUAUAUAUUUCGAGCUGUUAUCGAGCCGAACACGAGCGAGCUGAUCCUAGCUCGUGUUUGGCUCGUUUAUUAAACGAGCUGAAAAAUUUAGCAUUUGCUCGGCUCGUUUAGUAAACGAACGAUUCGAACUCGAGCUCAUUUCAAACCGAAUAUGAGCUGGCUUGCGAACAGCGAGCUGGAUUACCACCCCUACUAUCGAAGAUAUAUUUCAAAAAUGGGUGCGAUAUUAGAGAAUAUCUCCUACAAUUUUACCUAGAGUCCUCCCACGUGAGAUUCGAACUCAUAACUACUUACAAAUGCACAUCCCAUGCACCCAGAUACCUUAUUCUUAAUGGAAUUUAUCUAUUUAUUUUAGGGAAGGACCAUCAAUGGAAACAUAUGUCACCGCAUGCAAAACAGCCCUUGCUGUUGAGUAGGGGUGGAAACGAGCUGAGCCCGAGCGAGCUUGCCUCAGCUCAAAUUCGGCUUGAAAUUAAUUUCGAGCCUAAAUUUAAGCUCAAGCUCGGCUUGAAAUUAAUUCGAGCCGAGCUCGAGCGAGCCUAAUUUCGAGUCGAGCGAGCUCGAGCCCUAAGCGAGCCGCUUGAAAUUCUCAACAUUGUACGAUUAAUAGUUUAAUUUGUAUAGAACAUUAUUUAUAAUUUGAUACAAAAAUAUAUCUAAUAGUUCAAGAUACAAAAUAAUUAUAUGAAAUACGAUAUUAUAAUAUAAAAAAAAAAUAAUUUACGAGUUGAAUAUCUAAUUUUUUCAGCUUCGCAUGUCUUCUCUUCCGCCUUCAAUUUUCAUAUUAUUCUUUUUCACCUAUGCGGUCAAAAAAUGAAUAAAUUAUAUAGACAAAUAUUAGAUUAAACUAUCUAAUUAUAUAUAACUAAAAUCAAAAUUUUAUAUAAAUAAUAAUUUUCUACCUUAAAAAUAUUCUGUAUAUUUUCUCAAGCACACAAUUAAUGGCAAGGUAGGCAACAGCGGGCGCGUGCUGUUACUUGAUAACUUGGGGGGCUUCAGGUUUGGCCGCUUGAGGAGAGAGAGAGAGAGAGAGAGAGAGAGAGAGAGAGAAGGAAUUUAAGGCUUUGUAAAAGAAAAGGAGGGAGAGAGUGUAAAUUUAGUAAAAUUUUACCUUUUUGUUGGCAUAUUGGGUUUGUUCUUAUGGCCCAGCAAUAUUGGCUCAAUUUUAACUAAACUUAGGUUACUCACUUAGCCUAUAUAUAUAUAUAUAUAUAUUCGAGCUUUUCGAGCCUAAUUCGAGCGAGCCGAGUAAUACUCAAGCUCGGCUUGAAAUGAAUUUCGAGCCUUUUUUUUUGUUCAAGCUCGGCUCAUCUAAUUUCGAGCCGAGCUCGAGCGAGCCGAAUAUCGAGCCGAACGCGAGUCGAACGCGAGCCGGCUCGCUCGUUUGCCAGCCCUACUGUUGAGAACAAGGUAACAAGUUUUUGUCUUAAAACCGACCAUUCCUAGAGCAAGUAGCAAGGGAUUGGUGAUUGGUACCCGAGGUCCCAAGUGCGAAUCCUAGUUGAUUCACAUUUCCAGCUAAGUUUAUUUCUAAAUGAAAUAAACGAAACAAGUAGCGUGCUACCUAUCUCUCAAAAAAAAAAAAAAAAAAGGUUUUUUCUCAAAAAAAAAAGAAAAGAAAUUAAUGAUCAAGGUCACAAGUUACAUAUAUAUAACUCUAUUAGUUUGAAAUAUAAUUUAAUGAGCAUUACUAUCGAUCAUUCCUACUGCAAGUGGCAAAGGAUUUGAUGGUUAAUACCUGAGGUUCAAAGUUUGAAUCCUAAUUGAUUCACAUUUCCAGCUAAGUUUAUUUUUAAAUGAAAUAAACGAAGUGGGUAGCAUGCUGUACCUAUUUCUCAAAAACAAAAUUUAAUGAGCAUUGUUCGAUCUAUGCACCAACAAAAAGUGGUGUAUAUCUUGCACCCCCUUAUUCAAUAAUCAAAAUUGAUCCUUGUCUUGUUAUUUUUUUUUUAAAUACUAAAAAUCUAAUAAUUUUAUAAUCUCUAGAAUAAAGGGAUGCAAGAUGUACACUCUAUUUUAUAGUGUACAAGUAUAAUUUUCUGUUAAAUAUAACAAGAUCAUUAUCUGUCAGUUUAAACUUUUAGAGUAUAACGAUUGUUUCACAUAAUUCAACGUGGUAUCACAGCAGGAGGUCCUGAGUUCGAGUCAAGCCAUGUCCUAGCAAAAUUAAUUUUCUCUUAUUUAAUUCAAAACCAGGUCAUGGACCUAUUAAAAAAUCUCGAGGCCAGAUUUGAAUAUAAAAAUACCAUUUUACCGGCUUAACUUUUUAGAGACAACUGUUUAUCAAAAAAUCUCGAACCCAAACGUGAAAAUAAAACUAUAAUAUUCUACCGACUUUAGUUUUUAGAAACAACUUCUUUAAAAAAAUCUCAAGCCAAGAUAGAGAGAAUGAUAAAUAUAAAAAUACAAUUUUCUGUCCGCUUAAGUUUUUAGAGUUAACCACUGUUCCGUAUAAUUUAAUAUUUUUCUAUUUUAAUAUAUUUCUCUAGCUCUAAAGUGCCUAAAUCAAAGCAAAAAUUAGAAGAGGAGAGAGAGAGAGAGAGAGAGAGAGAGAAAAGUGGAGAGAGAAAAAGGGGUGGAAAUAAGAACAAGCCUAGAUUAUACUUCAAGCUAUCAUUAAUUAAAGGGUAAACUUCAAAUAUCACCCUUGUGGUUUCUCACUUUCUCACUUUAGUAUCAUGUAGUUUAAAGUGUAUCAAGUUAGUGUCUCGUGGUUUUAUUUUUAUCUUUUCGUCAGUUUUUUCGUUAAUAUUGUAUUAAAUUAUAUGCAAAAAAUUUCAGAUAUCCCAUCUAGAUUUAUCGAAUAUUCACUUUAAUACUCUUUGGUUUUAAUUUUAUCACUGAUUUAACGAAAAAAAUUAGUAGAAUCGAUAAUAAAAAGAUAAAAAUAAAAUCACAGUGCAGUAAAUUGAUACACUUUAAACCACAGGGUAAUAAAGUGAGAAAGUGUGAAACUUAAGGGAUAGUAUUUGAAGGUUUUUAUUAAUUAAAUAAACUUCUUAAUAUAUUUUUACUUGGAAAACAUUAUGCACCAAAACUCCAAUCAUGCCAAAUAAGUUCCACAAGUACAAGGAAAGCAAGAAUUAAUUAAUGAAACUGCAAAGCGUGACAAAAAAGUAAUAUUCUCCUUAAAUACAUUAAUUGCAUUAAUUUAUACAUUUGAUGCUACAAAUUGUAGCCUAUAUAAUACGCUUAUUAAUUUAUUCUCUUCCAUAGGAAAACCCACAAAAUUAAGAAAUUAGCAUGGGUAUGAAAAAGGCCUUUUUAGUUAGUUAGGUUAUGUUAGGUCGACACAAAUCAAUGAGUAAAUUGUAUACGUGCAUGGUUGAUGAUAAGCCACAUACGAUUAUAAAUUCCAUGAAAAAAAAAAAAAAAAAAAAGCCCUCAUGUGAUUAUGAAGUUCAUGUUGAGCACAAUUAUUGGUAUGCUCAUUAAUUAUAUUCACAUAGGUGAAAAUAUAGUGAGACCCCCGCAAGUACGGGCGAUCUGAAAUAGCACCCCCAACUUUAAAUUUUUUUUUUGGCUAAAUUACAGAAAAUGCUCAUGCAAAUACCUUUUUUUUUUCAUUAAUUUGUCUUUCCUAACUUUCAAAAAUCUAUAUUUUGCCUCCUUUAAAAUUUAAAAAAUAUUUUCAAGGCCGGAGAGGGGGUUACAACGUUAAUGGAGAGGGUAAAAUGACCAAAAUUACUCUUAUUUUUUAUAUAAAAAAUAAUUUUUUAAUACAUUUAUGUCAUUUUUGAAGGACAUUUUUUGUAUAAAUUAUAAGAGGUGGACGGAAUAGUCAUGGAACCCUGACGAAGACGGCUAAAUGCAACAACUUGAAAUAUUAAUGGGGUAAAAUAUAAAUUUUUGAAAGUUAGAAAGGAAAAGUAAAAAAAUGAGUAUUUAUAAGGGGUUUUCUGUAAUUUAGCCUUAUUUUUAUUGACUAAUUUAACUUCUAAUUUUUUUGAAUUAUAUUCUUGUAGUUAACUAUGUUAGAAAAUUAAUAUUGUUGACUUUCAUGGCUCAAGUAGUCAUUAGUAGUUAAUUAAUCUAAUUUUAUUCACUAUAAAAUAGUUUAAAUAGAAUUAUUAAUUAAUUUGGCAAAAUUCUUAAACUUUUUGGCUAAAAUCGAUUAAUUCUAAAAAAAAUAAAGUUAAGAGGGUUUCAAGGAAAAAAAAACUGAAAAGUGAGGUUCCUUUUUAGAAUAGCAAAUAGUUAGAGGGUCUUCAUACAUUUUACCUACUCACAUAAAUAGAGAAUUGAUAUGGCAAAUGCAAUAAAUAUUAUUGUUACAACACAUGUAUUGUAUGUGAUCAUAUUUUGAAUCUUGUUGUUCUUGCAAUAGUAUACAUUGCUUUAGCAAUAAUAGUGUGUCACAGGAGUUUUCUUAUAUGUCAAUUUUAGUGAUCGAGCAUCUGAAUCGAUAAUUGGUAUUAUUAAACAUAAUCAAUUUAGUAUACUAAAAACUAAAUUUUAUAAUUUUGGCACAUCUAAUAUUCAAUUAUAUAUAGUUCAAAAAAAUUAACAAUUUUCGAAGACUAAUGUAAGAUGAAUUCAACGUCACUUGAUCACUAGGCAUAAAAUAACGUAAAAUCAUAAAAUUUGAAAUAGCUUAGAUCAUAUGUAACGAUAUCGAUCGUCGAUUCUAAUGCCUCAUCUUCAAAAUCAAUGCGGAAACAAACUCCUUGGUUUACCUCUAGAAGCAUUGUAGCCUAAUUCAGAUAAGAUACACAUGUACUUCAAAACUGCAUGAUUAGUUCAUGAUUGAGUGAUGAGUUGUAAAUUUGUAGAGGAAUAUGUGUUCUCUAGAUAGGAUUUUAUUUAUUUUUUUCUUUUUGAGAGAUGUGUUCUGUUGGAUCUAAUCAUCAAUACCUAUUUUUAUACAUUAGGCCCCCAUUAAUGAGCUCUUGAUGUGGAAAAUGACCCUGCUACAUAAGCCUUUAUCUCAUCAACACAUGACACCUGUAUAAUUUAUGAUUAAUUUGCAUUUGGUAAUGGACAAAUGAUUCAGAUCCUCUAUAGCUGCAUAUGUUCAAUGAUCAAUUGGAGAAUUUUUGUGUUAGUCAUCAAUAAGUAAUUGAUGGAAGAUAUAUCCGAUUCUGGAGGAGCUUCUAUUUUCUAUUUCUGGUGUAUUGUCAUAACUUAUACGCUAUUGAAGUAUCUGCCAUUCAUACCAUCUAUAGUGGGAAAGGCGAAGGAGAUGAGGAUCUUUUGGUUUGGUACGUAAACAAAACGUCGAUCUAAAAUUAUAGUGUAUGAGUCAAUCAUGUUCUAAGAGUGUUUACACAAUGUGUAUUGCGACAUAUCGUAUUGUAGCGAUAACUAGUUAUCACAUAGGCACAAUACAACUUGUAAAAUCAUGUAAGGGCCUAUUCGGCCUAAAUUUAAAAUUUGAACUAGAAUUUAAAUUUUGAUAUUUGAAAUGACAAACCAAAUUUCAAAUUAAAAAAUUUAGAAUUUUAAUGUUUAAAAAAUAAUACUUGAAUUUUAAAUUUGGAAGUUAAAAUUUAAAUUUUAAGCUUUAAAAUCUAAAUUAAAAUUUUAAACUAAAAUCGAAAAGUUAUCUAAAGUUUAAAAUCUAAAUUUAAAAUUUACAAUUCCAUAUUUAAAUUGAAAAUUCAAAUUUUAAAUUUUAAAAUUUUGAAUUUUAAAAAUUUAAAAGUUUAAAUUUAAAAUCUAAAUUUAAAAUUUGAAAUUUAAAAUAUAAAAUUUAAAAUUUAAAAUUUAAAAUUCAAAAGUAAAACUUUAAAAUGUAAAGUACCAAAUUUAGAAUUUUAAAAUUUUUUGAAAAAUAUUUGAAUUUUAAAUUAAAAUUAAAAUUAAAAAGUUAUCUAAAGUUUAAAAUCUAAAUUUAAAAUUCAAAAUUCCAAGUUUAAAUGAAAAUUGAAAUUUUAAAAUUUAAAUUUGAAUUUUAAAAUUUAAAGUUAAAAUUUAAAAUAUAUUUUGAAAUUUGAAAUAUAAAUUUAAAAAUAUAAAUAUAAAAUUCAAAGUAAACUUUAAAAAUAAAGUACAAAAUUAUCAUUUAAAAUUUAAAAUUUCAUAUUUAAAUCUAAAUUUGAGCAUUAAAAUUCAAAUUUUAAAUUUUAAAUUUUAAAACUUAAAAUUAAAUUUAAAAUCUAACAUAAAUUCAAAAGUUGAAUAAAAAAUUAAAAUUUAAACUCAAAAUUUUAGUCUAAAAUCAAAAUCAUAUUUCAAUAAGUAGAUCUUAACUACUUUUGAUUUUAGGUCUCUAAAAUUAGAGAAUCGAUUAUAAAAAUCAGAAUCAAAAUUUGAAAGAUAAAUUGUCAAAAGCUCUAUUGAGUAAAAAAUCACUUUUCAUACUAAAAUCACUUUUCAGAACUUAGGCCAAACACUCUCUAAUUUUGUAGUUACUGAAUUACCGUCCUAGAGAUUUGGAUUACGAUCCUCAUUUGUGUUUAUGUAAAUAGAGAUUCGUGUCCCAGCUUCUUGAAUAUAAAUAUAUAGGAUAAAUUUGUGGUUGUUUUCUUCUUGAGACCCUGUCUGCCUCACUCUAUAUAGCUAAAUUUAUUUACUUAAUAAAUGAACCAGAUAACGUGCUACUUUUCUCUCAAAAAAAUUAAUUGUGAUUGUUUGGAAUAAGAACCGACUCAUUCGCAAACUUGGAACACACACAAAAAAAAAGUCAAAAAUUGCUUUAUGCUUCAAUCAACUAGGAUAAAUUAAACGUUUGGUCCUCAAACUAUAAGGUGUGUGACACUUUGGUGUUUAAACAUUAAUAUAUAAUAAUUUUUGGCUCAGACUUUCAGAAUUAUUAUAAUCAAGUCUUAUAAUCCAAUUUAGGGGACGAAUUAUUGAUGUAUAGCCAAUGUAAAAGUCAUGUAGUACAGUUUAAGAUGUCUCAUCAUUUUUAUAUAAACAAUACAUCAAUAUUUAGUCAACUAAAUUUGAUUUAUAAAAUUUGAUUACAAUAAUUCUAAAAAUUCAAAUCAAAAAUUAUUAUAUAUUAAAGUUUGAGGACUAGAAUGUCACCUGCCUCAUAAUUUGAGGACCAAAAGUGUAAUUUACUCCUCAAGUAACAAAUUCAUUCUUUGUUCAUCAUUUUUUUAAAAAAAAUUAAAGAUUACAAAAAAUAAUGAUGCUGAUAUUGUAUUAAAUUUGCAAUUAUUAUAAUAUAAACAAGGUGAUAAAUGGUUGAAAAUAAUUGAAAUUGGGCAUUUAAUAUUUAUUUUAUUCGGAGAAUAAAAACAAAGUUAGAAAAAGAUAUUUUUGUCCACUUUAAAAUGAAAAACCGCGUAACAAAUGGGUCCCACCAAGUUGGAUUGUCCGAUCCAACCAUUGAUAACGUGAACUCUACAUUUUCUUUUUUUUUAAAAAAAAAUUGAGAUUUUCUUAAUUACUAAUUAUUCUAGUUUUAUUUAAUAAUAAGUAAUUAAUUUUUUUUCCCGUAUUUAAAGAACUAAAAUUGUUCAGUUUAGACAAAAUUAGAAGUUUUGAAAUAACAAAUAUAAAAAAAUAAAUAAGUUUGGAGUAAAUUUUAGAAUGGCUUAUAGUCAAGGGUGUAACCGGUUCGGUGUGGUUCGGUUUAUCUUUAUUUUUUAAAUUGAACUAAAUUUUUCAGUUUGGUUAAAUAUCAAACCGAACCAAAUUGAUCUAGCUUCUGAACCGAACCAAAACCGCGAUUCGAGCUACUCAUUUGGUUUCGUUUGGUUCCAAUAUUUGGUUUCAUCUUAUACCUAGAAAAAAAAAAUUAUUUACAAGUUUUCCAUGCUAAAUGGAUUAAUUUACAAGCAUUUUGAAACAAAAAUAAAAUAAAGAUACAAAAAAUUAAAAAACACUCAUCUCAAAUUAUUAUUUAAUAUACACUAAUAUAUAUAUAUAUAUAUAUAGAGAGAGAGAGAGAGAGAGAGAGAGAGAGAGAGAGAGAGAGAGCUAGCCUACUAUACUAUCGGUAGCACGGAGUGCUCCGUGCUACCAAGUUGUUUUCGAUGAUGUGGCUUCCAAAUCGACGAUCGGCUCCGUUAGACUUGAUCUACACUAUUGAAAGUAUUUAGAAACUAAAUUUUAUAAUUUUUCGAUAUCAUUUACCUAUCAAAUAAGUAGUCUAAAAUUGAACGGCUGAAAAUAAAAAUCUCAUAAAAAAUGAUGAUAAAAGAUUUAAAUUCAAAAUCAGAUAUACUGAUCUUACUCUAAAUAGUGAAAAGAAUUUUCUAUAAAAUUUUCAUCGCAUUUGGAUUGUUUUACACCGUUAAACUCACAAACACACCACAUCGGCCAUUAAAAAUUAUUGAUUUUGAGCCCUUCGAUCACUAGGCAAAUGAUAUCGAAAAAUCACAAAAUUUAUUUCUAUGUACUUCAAAUAUCUAGAUCAACUUCUAACGGAGCUGAUCGUCGAUUCGAAAGUCCGAACACUGAAAACAAAGUGAACACAGAGGGAUCCGUGCUUCCAUAAGCAUACAGCGCUCUAUAAUUAAUAUAUAUAUAUAUAUAUAUGGCCAAUUUGCAUAAAAAUCUCAAUAAUUUUACGCUUUUUGCAAAAUGGCCACCUUUUUAGUUUUUACAGAUUCGCCGAAUUUUCAGAAGGAUGACACAAUUACCUCUGUCAAAAUGCAUAAAAAUAUAUGCUUUAAAUGCCUAGAAAAUACAUUGUUAAGUCACUAAGUAUAAAAACUCUUGAAAUGACAACUGACUAAGCCAUAAUUAUAUGUACCUUUUCGUGAAACAGCAAAACCUCAUUCAGACAAAAUAAAAAAAUAAAGAAUAAUUAAUAAGAUGAAAGAGUGCAACAUCUCUUAAAUAGCGCACAAACUCUCAAAUAGUGCAUAUCUGUAUAAGUAGUCAACAUAUGCAUUGUUAAUAUACAUUUUGCAUGAUUUUUACACUAAAUUACGCACAGUUUAGUAUAUUACGUGAAAAUAAUAUAUUACAACAUACUAUAAAAAUUAUACAAUAUAUGUACAAACGGUGCAUAUUUUACACUAUUUAUUCAUAUAUUUACACCAUUUGUGUAAAUAUUGCACGAUUUUGAAAGGAUGUUGCACCAUUUAGAUGUGUGUUGCACUCUUUCUUUUUGAAAAUUAAAUUUUAUUGCAUAUUAAAUAAAAUGUAAAACUUCUUGAAAAUGACAAAUGCUAAGCCAUAAUUACAUGCAUGUAUCUUUCUCGUGAAACGAGAAACCUCAUUCAAGAGAAAAUAAAAAAAAUAAAGAUUAAUUAAUAAGAUGAAAGAGUGCAAUAUCCUCUCAAAUAGUGCAACAAUCUCUUCAAAAUAGUGCAAUAUCUGUAUAAGUAGUGCAACAUAUGCAUUGUUAAUACACAUUUUGCAUGAUUUUUACACUAAAUUACGCACAGUUUAGUAUAUUACACGAAAAUAAUAUAAUAUAUUACAACAUACUAUAAAAAUUAUACAAUAUAUGUACAAACGGUGCAUAUUUUACACUAUUUAUUCAUAUAUUUACACCAUUUGUGUAAAUAUUGCACGAUUUUGAAAGGAUGUUGCACCAUUUAGAUGUGUGUUGCACUCUUUCUUUUUGAAAAUUAAAUUUUAUUGCAUAUUAAAUAAAAUGUAAAACUUCUUGAAAAUGACAAAUGCUAAGCCAUAAUUACAUGCAUGUAUCUUUCUCGUGAAACGAGAAACCUCAUUCAAGAGAAAAUAAAAAAAAUAAAGAUUAAUUAAUAAGAUGAAAGAGUGCAAUAUCCUCUCAAAUAGUGCAACAAUCUCUUCAAAAUAGUGCAAUAUCUGUAUAAGUAGUGCAACAUAUGCAUUGUUAAUACACAUUUUGCAUAAUUUUUACACUAAAUUACGCACAGUUUAGUAUAUUACACGAAAAUAAUAUAAUAUAUUACACGAAAAUAAUAUAAUAUAUUACAACAUACUAUAAAAAUUAUACAAUAUAUGUACAAAUUGUGCAUAUUUUACACUAUUUAUUCAUAUAUUUACACCAUUUGUGUAAAUGUUGCACUAUUAUAAGAGGAUGUUGCACCAUUUAGGUGUGUUGCACUCUUUCUUUUUGAAAAUGAAAUUUCAUUACAUAUUAAAUGAAGUGUAAAACUUCUUGAAAAUGACAACUGCUAAACCAUAAUUACAUGCAUGUACCUUUCUCGUGAAACGAGAAGACUCAUUCAAGAGAAAAUAAAAAGAAUAAAGAAUAAUUAAUAAGAUGAAAGAGUGCAACAUCCUCUCAGAUAGUGUAACAAGCUCUUCAAAAUAGUGCAAUAUCUGUAUAAGUAGUGCAACAUAUGAAUUGUUAAUACACAUUUUGUAUGAUUUUUACACUAAAUUAAUUACAUACAGUUUAUUAUAUUAUAUGUUGCAUAUUAUUUUCGCGUAAUAUAUUAAACUGUAUGUAAUUUAGUGUAAAAAUUAUGUAAAAUGUGUAUUAACAAUGCGUAUGUUGCACUACUUAUACAGAUAUUGCACUAUUUUGAAGAGCUUGUUGCACUAUUUUAGAGGAUGUUGCACUCUUUCAUCUUACUAAUUAUUCUUUAUUUUUUUAUUUUCUUUUGAAUGAGGUUUCUCGUUUCACGAGAAAGGUAUAUGUAAUUAUGGCUUAGCAGUUGUCAUUUUCAAGAAGUUUGACACUUUAUUUAAUAUGUAAUGAAAUUUAAUUUUCAAAAAGAAAGAGUGCAACACACAUCUAAAUGGUGCAACAUUCUCUUAUAAUAGUACAACAUUUACACAAAUGGUGAAAAUAUAUGUAUAAAUAGUGUAAAAUAUGUACCGUUUGUACAUAUAUUGUAUAAUUUUUAUAAUAUAUUGUAAUAUAUUAUAUUAUUUUCGCAUAAUAUACUAAACUGUACGUAACUUAGUGUAAAAAUCAUGCAAAAUGUGUAUUAACAAUGCAUAUGUUGCACUAAUUAUACAGAUAUUGCACUAUUUUGAAGAGAUUGUUGCACUAUUUGNUCUCUCAAAUAGUGCAACAAUCUCUUCAAAAUAGUGCAAUAUCUGUAUAAGUAGUGCAACAUAUGCAUUGAUAAUAAAUAUUUUGUAUGAUUUUUACACUAAAUUACGCACAGUUUAGUAUAUUAUACGAAAAUAAUAUAUUAUAUUACAACAUACUAUAAAAAUUAUACAAUAUAUGUACAAACGGUGCAUAUUUUAUACUAUUUGUGUAGAUAUUUAUACCAUUUGUGUAAAUAUUGCACUAUUAUGAGAGAAUGUUGCACCAUUUAGAUGUGUGUUGCACUCUUUCUUUUUGAAAAUUAAAUUUCAUUGAAUAUUAAAUAAAGUAUAAAACUUCUUGGAAAUAACAACUGCUAAGUCAUAAUUAUAUGUAUGUACCUUUCUUGUAAAACGAGAAACCUCAUUCAAGAGAAAAUAAAAAAUAUAAAGAAUAAUUAAUAAGAUGAAAGAGUGCAAUAUUCUCUCAAAUAGUGCAACAAUUUUUUCAAAAUGGUGCAAUAUCUGUAUAAGUAGUGCAACAUAUGUAUUGUUAAUAUAUAUUUUGCAUGAUUUUUUUUUUUUGAGAGAUAAGUAGCACGCUACCCGCUUCGUUUACUUCAUUUAGAAAUAAACUUAGCUGGAAAUGUGAAUCAACUAGGAUUCGAACUUAGGCCUCGGGUACCAACCAUCAAGCUCUUUGCCACUUGCUUUAGAAAUAAACUGUAUGGCUUAGCAGUUGUAUUUUUUUAGGCAUUUAAAGUAUAUAAUUUUUAUGAAUUUUGAAAGAGGGGUAGUUUGGUCAUCCUUCUGAAAAUUCGGCCCGAAUCUGCAAAAACUAAAAAGAUGGUCCACGUUUGCAUAAGCGCCAAAUUAGUGAAUUUUUUAUGCAAAUUGGCCUAUAUAUAUUUAUGUUUAACUAUCUGAGUUUUGGUUCGGUUCGAUUAAUUUAGAAGUGCAAACUAAAUCCAAACGGGAAAUCAAAAUUUCACAAAAAUCACAAUGGAACUGAAGCAAAAACCAAUUUAACUAAACUAAAUAAACUUAUUUGAUUUGGUUCGAUAUGGAUCCAAAUUGUGAAUGAACACCCUUAUUUAUAUUUAACAGUUAAUUUUAUGCAGGUUCCUGCAAAUAUAGUGAAUAACAAAUAUAUUUCUGUAAAUUUCAACUUUUAUAUUUUGUCCCUACAAAAAUUCUAAAAUAUUAAAUACUAAUCAGGAUUAAGUAUUUAACCUACGGUUAACUAUAUUUUUCUAACGGAUUCUAACGGCAGAAAUAUAUUUGAAAAUGUCAGGACUUUUGAAGGAAUAACAUAUGAAAGUUAAACUUUAUAAAAAUAUAUUUGUUAUAGUAAAUUAUAUUUAUAAGGACCUGUAUAAAAUUAACCCUAUAUUUAAUAGUGUUUCCAUACAUUUGAGAUUUUUUUUUUUUUUUUGGCGUGUAGUUAGUUAGAUUCCCCACAACCCAAGUUUUUGAAAAGUUUGAUUCCAGGUUCAAACCCCAACGGUCAAAAACUGACAAAAAAAAAAAAAAAAAAAGUGGAUUCACUUUUUUGCCCCUCAAUUAAUGGUUGGUUCUAGAAUUGUUUACGAAGUCAAUGUUUCUUAUUCUAAAAGCAAAUUCAAAAAGAAGGCCCCAAAAUCACAUACACCAUGCAUUGUUGUUGGAAAAUAUGUACAAGUUCCAACUUCCAGGCACGUAGUCAAAGGAAUGUGAAAAAGUCGCAACGUAGUUGCGUAUGUUUUCACGAAAUAAUAAUACAGGUGGGAAAAAAAUAUAAAAUUUAGGCCUAUACGACAACGAUCUUUAAAUUCUUUAAAAAACUUAAUUAUGUUAUGUAGAAAUUUAAAAGUUUAUCUAAAUUAGAUGCCUACCACAAAAUGAUAAGCCGAAUGAGAUCAAACCAGAUUAGAAAAACUUUGGGCCAUUCUUUAGAAUCUCGAUGAAUCCAAUCCCAUUGUGCAAGAAUUAUUAAAUUAAUAUAAAUUAAAGGGUUAAUUUUAUAUUGGUCUCUGCGAAUUACAAAUAUAUUCCUAUAAAGUUCAAAUUUCAUAUGUUGCUCUUGGAAAAAUCUUAAUAUUCUCAAAUAUGUUCAUGUCGUUAAAAUCUAUUAGAAAAUUUUAGUUAAUCAUAGGUUAAAUACUUAAUUCUUAUUAAUUUAUGAUAUAACUUGACAUUUUUGUCCCUCUUAUAUUAUACUGUUGUGGCUUUUGGAGGGACAUAUUUCAGAUGGCAAAUUGAUACUUCACUUAAAAUAUGAAUAGUUUUAUAACAGUAACAAACCCAAGGGAUAUAUUUGAAAAUACUAAACUUUUAUAGACACAAUAUAUAGAAGUCGAGCUUUAUAGGGAUAUAUUUACAAUUUACUAUAUUCUAGACUUAACAUGUUUAACUUUCUUAACCUCUUGGAUUUAGUCAUUAUCCAAAAUGUUAUAGCUGGAUUAAGAGAUCCAGUCCUAUUAUACUUUAUAUAUAUAUAUAUAUAUAUAUAUAUAUACUACUAUAUGAUACGAGAGAGAGAGAGAGCAGAGAAAGGAGUAUGUCUUGUGUGCUUAUUAGGAGGCACGGAGGGGGUCUUCCGUGGCUCCUAAGCCGUUUUAGAUGAUCGGGAAUCUUUGAUCGACGAUCGGACUCCGUUAGAACUCCGCUUGAUCUAGGUAUUUGAGCUAUCGAGGAAAUAUUUUUGCAGUUUUUGAUAUCAUUUGCCAGUAAUGUGAAAGAUUCAGAUAACAUUUUUUAAUGGUUGAUAUACCUGCCGUUUGCAGUUUAAAAGGUGUAGAGUAUUCCAAAUGAGAUGAAAAUUUUGGUAAAAAUUUUUAUACUUCUAUAACAAAUCCAUAUUACUGAUCGAAACUUUAGUGGCUACAUCAUAGCUUUUUUGUGAUUUUUUAUUUUCAACUGUUGAUGUUUGAGUUACUUUCGAUCACAAGGUGAAUGAAUAUUGGAAAACCGCAAAAAUUAUUUCUAUAUAUUUCAAAUAUUGUUAGUAAGUCUACGGAGCCGAUCAUCAUCUCGAAAAUCCAUCAUCAAAAAACGGCUUAGAAGCACGGAGGCCUCCGUGCUCCUAAAAUACAACAACAAUCCUACUAUAUACUAUAAUAUAUAUAUACUAUAACAUAUAUAUAUACUAUAGAUAUAUAUAUUAUACUAUAUAUCUAAUAUAUAUAAUCAUAUAUAGACGAGAGAGAGAGAGAGACGCAGAGAGAGAGAGUUGGACUGGGGUAGCUAUUGUAGCCAAUCUAUUGUGCUAACAGCUUUUUUUAGCUUUGGAUCAACUUUUUUCAUUAUUUCAACAUUGGAUUAAUACUAUCACCAUUGGGGACCCUCAACCUAGCGCGCGGGACCACUCAACUCUAACCGACUAAUUCAUUCUGACCUACACAUUUUCAUCAGGUUUUUAAAACUUGAAUGAAAAAGGAGCGUUUUACUAUUGAUUCAGCUAAUUCUAUAAUUAUCUUAAUAUAUAUAUAGAGAGAAGAAGAGAGAGAGAGAGAGCAGGAGGCUUACUAAUGCUCAUCGGAAGCACGGAGCUUCGUGCUUCAGCUCGUUUUUCGAUAAUUAGCGAUUCUCAAUGGUCGAUCGCUCCAGUUCCUUGAUUAGAGUUUACAGUACCUAGAAAAUAAAUUUUAAUGAUUUUACCGAUAUCAUUUGCUUAGUGAAGAAGGGCUCAAAUCAACGGCUUGAAAUAAAAAUCUACCAAUAUAAUAUACACUUAAAUUUUUAAAUCAAGAUAUUGCCUCGUUUUAUAUAGUAAAGAAUUUUCUAUCAAUUUCAUGUGAAUUUCGAUAUUUUCUACAACGUUAACUUGCAGAUGGUCACUAUGGCCAUGAAUUUGUUAAUUUUGAGCUCAUUCGAUUACUAGGCAAAUGAUAUCGAAAAAUAAAUAAAUUUUUCUCUUAGUCUCAANNNNNNNNNNNNNNNNNNNNNNNNNNNNNNNNNNNNNNNNNNNNNNNNNNNNNNNNNNNNNNNNNNNNNNNNNNNNNNNNNNNNNNNNAUAUAUAUGAUAUUAUUAAUAUAUACUAUAAUAUAGUAUAUAUAUAUAUAUAGUUGAGCUAGAAUACUAUCGAUAGCAAAUCGGCACUUUUGCCAUCCAUUUGUUUUCGAUGAUGGAGCCUCCAUAUUGAUGAUCGGUACCGUUGAACAUAAUCUAUACCAUUUGAAGUAUUUAGAAAUUAAAUUUCAUACAUUUUCGAUAUUGCUCUCUUAUCCAUCGAGUGGACACAAAAAUGAACGGCUGAAAAUGAAUAUUCUUAAAAAAAUGAUGAUAAGAGUCUUGUAAUCAAGGUCAAGAGUAUAGAUCUUGUUUUAAAUAGUUUAAAGAAAUUUCUAACAAAAAUUCAAUUGAUUUGGAUAUCUUUACGCCGUUAAACGAAAAAACGCCUCAUAUCGACCAUUGAAAUUACAAAAUUUGAAACCCUUUGAUCAUUAGGCAAAUAAUGUCGAAAAUAUUUGAAAUUUGAUUUCUAAAUACUUCAAGUAGUAUAGAUCAUGUUCAACGGUGUCGAUCGUCGAUUUGGAGGCUCCAUCAUCGAAAACAAAUGGGUGUCAAAAGUGCCGGUUUACUAUCGAUAGCAUUCUAGCUCAACACUCUCUCUCUCUCUCUCUCUAUAUAUAUAUAUAUAUAAUCUU
rnacentral:lncRNA from 1 species